UUGAAGUCUUCUUCUCCUUCCUUCGGUCGGGCAGGUGACUGGGUGAUGAACUGGGGUUCUUCUCGGCACUCGGCACUCGGCACUCGGUCGUCUGGUGAACACCGGAUGGUGGGGGUACCUGCGAAGGCACUCCGACGCUCAAGUCAGUAAAGCGGGCGGUCGGCUCUCAGAGUGAUAAAUGUCAGCUCUCAGAGUGAUAAAAUGACAUACCUUACUCCUGGAAAUGAGUGCUAUUUAUACUAUUCUAGUGGGCCUACCUUGUUGGGCCUGUUUAUCGAGGUGGGUACCGCUUAGGAUUGCAUUACCUAAUUCUUGAUGAUGGAUUAGCUUCACUGAUCUUGGUUUGAGCGUUAAUUGAAAUGGGGUUCGGCCGUCGGCCAAAUACCCGUGGUCUCGACAUCUCAGUCGUUCGGCCAAGACUCCAAAGGGCUCGACAUCUCUCUCGUUCGGCCAAGACUCCAAAGGUCUCGACAUCUCUCUCGUUCGGCCAAGGCUCCAAAGGUCUCGACAUCUCAGUCGUUCGGCCGUUCGGCCCAGUACCGGUACACUUGCCCCCCAGGCUCAAGGGCAGAUGUGUUAGAUAUGUCCGAUGAGUCUUUAAUGAUGGGUGUCGGUCGGUUUCCCUUGAUCGUGCGGCUAUUCCAUUUAUCGAUGUGUGACGUGACCCUCGGUGUGAUCAAAUAAGUUGGAUUUGGGCGGUCAGCCUUUUAAUUGUGAUUUUAAUCGAACAAGAAUGGGCGGUCGGCCAUUUAAUUGUGAUCUUUAAUCGAACAACUAAGGAUAGGUGGCCAGCUAUUACUUGCGAUGAUAAUCGAGCAAGUGUAGGUGGCGAUCGGCCGGUACUUGCGAUGAUAAUCGAGCAAGCGUAGUGGGCGGCCGGCAAUUACUUGCGAUGAUAAUCGAGCAAGUGUAGGUGGCGAUCGGCCGGUACUUGGGAUGAUAAUCGAGCAAGCGUAGUGAACGGCCGGCACUUGCGAUGAUAAUAGAGGGUGUCAGAUAUGUCCGAUUAGUCUUUGAUGAUGGGAGUGGGUGGUCGCUUCGUUUUUCGAGGUGUGACUUGACUAGGCGGCGUGACAUGAUUUCAGACUGCGCGACGUGACGCGCAUUGAUGAGGGGUUUUUUGGGCGGGGGUUUUUGUGGACCGUUAGAUCUACUGGAUCCAAUGGUUGAGAUUGGUUUGUUGUUUCACGUUUUGAGGCCCAUGAGCCCUAUAUAUAGAGGUCCACCAGUGUCACAUUCUUGUUUUUUCUAUUGGAGCGAGCGAACUGGUAGCCCAGAGAAAGUUUAGUCAUGUCGAGCCGGUCUCGGUCGGCAUCUUCAUCAUUUGGUCGAACGCCUUCUCCCACCCUUGGGUCGUCUUCCUUUUCUUCCUCUUCAUCUUCUACCACCGGCCCUUUAUCGGUUAGUUUGGCUGGGGCGCCACUCAUGGUAGAGGUGGUAAGGGGUGAACACCCGGUUAACGCGAGGUGGAUCUUAGCUGGGUGGAUCCUAAGGUUGCGGAGUUCUCGUCCGCUUAUGAUACUGAGAAGUCUGUGGCCAAGUUUUUGGCUGAGUACCCCCCUUGGCUCCAGCUCCCGAACGACCGAAGCUCCCUCAUGGAUAUGUUGAUUUGUUCGGCCGAACGACCGAACGACCGACACUCCCCCCUCAAUGUUCGGCCCGUCGUCCUUACUCAGGAGCACUCCAUCUCCUACUUCCUCUUUUUUUUUUGAUCAGCAACGAAUAAAUAGAAUAAAAUGAAACACUUUAGGGGUGUUCCAACCCUUAUACAAAGACCUCCUAAUUAAGCAUUUAGCAGUUAAAACAAAGUUAAGCGGCUCCCCACUUAACUCAAAAACUUAAAGCUAGGGUACAUCAUCGCGUCUAUAUGAUAACCUGGGGUAACAUUUUCCUUAAGCAGUAACAUAGCCAUAAACUGGUAGAAGAAGAACGACCGAGUGGUCGAAACCUACGGAAAGAUGGCCGAACGACCGAGAUGACAAGGCCCUCGGGGACAUGGCCGAACGACAGGAAUGACGAGACCUUCUAGGACUUGGGCGAACGACCGAGAGGUUAAGACCUUCCCGUACGGCCGAAAGUCCAGACCUACUCUAUGACCUUCUGCGCAAACUUCCAGCCUUCUUCUUUUACUCCAAAGCUCGAACCUCCAGCAAAGUCUUUUAUGCAGUCCCAAUACCUGAGGCUGCAUAACACCAGCAUGACACAAGUCCUAGAGAUGAUUUGUAGAACCCCAAGUACACCUCCAGAAGCUAUUCCUACUGCAACCCCAUUCUAUUACUAAAGUUACAUCAGAUUUCCUUUCCCUAACCAUCAUGCACUCAUCAACAUAUAAGACAAGCAGGCCUCCCAUUUCCUACCUCGCUACCUCACAACACUGAUUUAAACAACAUAACAGAACAGAACACAUAACAGUACACAUAAAACAUAACAGCUUCUACUAAAAAGAACAGAGGUACUACACUGACUUAAACAAUCAGGCUAUCCCUUACAGCUCCAUCAGUCUCCUACUUCCUCUUGGACUAGCGAAUGGGAUAACCCAUUGCCAAGAUGGGCCAUCCGGUUUUCUUCGUGGCCCAAAAAACCAGAGGGUUCGUGCUGAGUGCAACUUAACUCCUCAUCCACAACUAACUUGGCUACGUCAGCCCGAGGGUUGGUACUAUUGUGCGAAGCUGUUUAUUGUGCGAAGCAGUACCGGUUCUCUAUCCUAUAUAAGUCGAGACCAACAUCGUCUACUACCAGUUUAUGGCCAUGUUACUGCUUAAGGAAAAAGUUACCCCAGGUUAUCACAUAGACGCGAUGAUGUACCCUAGCUUUAAGUUUUUGAGUUAAGUGGGGAGCCGCUUAACUUUGUUUUAACUGCUAAAUGCUUAAUUAGGAGGUCUAUGUAUAAGGGUUGGAACACCCCUAAAGUGUUUCAUUUUAUUCUAUUAAUUCGUUGCUGAUCAAAAAAAAAAUUGUGCGAAGCUGUGGGCCCGUGGCUACAGGUUUUCAGGAUCGCCGCUUCGUCAGAGGCUAUCUGAUGUACUGUUUCCACAUUGGUGAAACUCUUAGCACUGACCCUCUGACUGACUAGACCCUUAGAGGUUGCUUCCCCUCGAACCAAGCCUUUUGUCGUUUUCUCUUGACCCUCACCGACACCUACCACCUCCCUUCCGAUUUGGACAUCUUCACCGUUAACUUCACCACCGAUCACCUCCCCCCUAUGCCACUGCCUUAUCCGACCCCGAACUUUUCCUUCCUCUUCACAACUAUUCACAGAGGCAGUAUCCUCUACAUAGGUUUCCGACGAGGAAACACUAUCCGAGGAGCCAACAUCAUCAUAGAUGCACCUGCAUGAACCUCUAUUCCCACAUAUAACUUCUUCUUCUAUAAGGAUACUAUAAAGAUUAUUGUUGAUCUUCAUGUCUGCCGCCAUCCUUACACUCUGACUCUUUGGCAUCCUGACUUGAAGAAUAGCAUACUCCAAGUUCUCCCAUAGGAGAGUGGCUUUGCCGAUAGACACUAUUGUUGCCUUAUCUCCCACCACUUUAGAGAAGCACUCCUUGUUCCAGAGAGAAAGGUAACUUUUAAGUGCGUCCUUGAAACGAAAAAUAAAAAACUCUGUUUUUUCAGUAAUAACGGGUUUAAAAAAUUUCAUAAAAAUAUAUUGGAAAUUAGUUUAAUUAGGAUUCAAUUUUCAGGAAAUUUGUGCCUCGUUCGGCAUCAGAAUUAUCAUUACUUUAAUGCAAUCAGAAUUAUUUAUGCCUCGUUCGGCAUUAGAAUUAUCUUAUUACUUUAAUGUAAUCGAAAUUAUUUAUGCCUCGUUCGGCAUCAGAAUUAUCUUAUUACUUUAAUGUAAUCGAAAUUAUUUAUGCCUUGUUCGGCAUCCGAAUUAUCUUAUUACUUUAAUGUAAUCGGAAUUAUUUAUGCCUCGUUCGGCAUCAGAAUUAUCUUAUUACUUUAAUGUAAUCAAUUAUUUAUGCCUCGUUCGGCAUCAGAAUUAUCAUUACUUCAAUGUAAUCGGAAUUAUUUAUGCCUCGUUCGGCAUCCGAAUUAUCAUUACUUUAAUGUAAUCGGAAUUUUUUUGCCUCGUUCGGCAUCAAAAUUAUCUUAUUACUUUAAUGUAAUCAGAAUUAUUUAUGCCUCGUUCGACAUCAGAAUUAUCUUAUUACUUUAAUGUAAUCAGAAUUAUUUAUGCCUCGUUCGGCAUCACAAUUAUCUUUACUUUAAUGUAAUCAGAAUUAUCUAUACCUCGUUCGGCAUCAGAAUUAUCUUAUUACUUUAAUGUAAUCAGAAUUAUUUAUGCCUCGUUCGGCAUCAGAAUUAUCUUAUUACUUUAAUGUAAUCAGAAUUAUUUAUGCGUCGUUCGGGAUCAGAAUUAUCUUAUUACUUUAAUCACAUCAGAAUUAUUUAUGCCUCGUUCGGCACACGAAUUAUCUUAUUACUUUAACGUAAUCAGUAUUAUUUAUGCCUCGUCCGGCAUCAUAAUUAUUCAGAAUUAUUUAUGCCUCGUUCGGCAUCACAAUUAUCUUUACUUUAAUGUAAUCAGAAUUAUCUAUACCUCGUUCGGCAUCAGAAUUAUCUUAUUACUUUAAUGUAAUCAGAAUUAUUUAUGCUUCGUCCGGCAUCAGAAUUAUCUUAUUAUUUUAAUGUAAUCAGAAUUAUUUAUGCCUCGUUCAGCAUCAGAAUUAUCUUAUUACUUUAAUGUAAUCAGAAUUAUUUAUGCCUCGUUUGGCAUCAGAAUUAUCAUUACUUUAAUGCCUCGUCUUGACCUUUCGGUCGUCCGUCCAAGUCCUCGAAGGUCUCGACAUCUCUGUCGUUCGGCCAACUCUCCGAAUGGUUCGACCUUUCGGUCGUUCGGCAUGUAGUCGAAUUUUUUCUCAAUUAACAAGAACAAUACCCAACUACUAACUAACUACGUACACAAAUACCAUACCUACCACACAUCAAGCAACCAAGAUUCUCAUCACAUACAAACUACAAUUGUUUUGGUGUUAGAAUUAAGGCUAGUUGAAAUAUUGCGUAGAUAGAUAAAAGAAAUUGGGGCUUUUUUUUCUCUCUAUAAUUCAACCAAAAUAAAGGAAUAAAUAGCCACGGAGGUCAUUAUCAUAUUGAACUGAACUCGUUUCAUAAGAGAAUGUUACUUUCUACAAUCAUACUGCAAUUAUUAUCAUUAUUUUAAUUUUUUUGAAAUGUGAAGAUGAGAGCAAACCUUAUUCUCAUUCAAUGUUACAGGCAGCAAUAAGUGCAAUUUGAAUGCAAAUGAGAAAUUGAGAUCCUAACUAGUAAUCGGAAAAAAAAUCGGUACCUUUACAUACUGAGAAUGAGAGGUUGAGAAGUGCACCGUCACCGUCAAACCCUCGCAACGUUCAACCAAGAAACAGAGAGAGAAAGAUGGAUGAUUUUGGAAGGAAAAGAGAAGAAUGGAGGAAAUUGGGGAUUUAGGGCACGCUUUGAAGUAAGGACAUCAAUGCUAAACGCUCUCAGAGCUUUUCCAACAAGGGUUUAGUUUUAUAGAUGUUAUUUAUUUUUAUAUAAAUUAUUAUAAACAAGAUUGCUUAAUUAUUAAAAAUAUAGUAUUUUAAAAUAAAUGUUUUUUUGACCUGAAAAAAUAAUUGGAAUCCCCUAAAAGUAAAUUAGGAAGUGCAAUUGCAAUUUUAUAUUGGAAUCAAAUUAAUAGUUAAAUCUUAUAUGAAAACAUGUGGCUCACUAAAAAAAGAAAAUACAUUGAAGAUGCUACAAAUUUAAUAGUUAAAAAGGAAAAGUAUAUUGAUAAUAUAAACUUUUUACAUUGAUAAUGCAUAAUAAAUUUGUUGGCUUUUACUUUUAAAACUAUAAUAACGAUUAUUUGUGACUAUGAAGAAUGAUGUCAAAUUAUCAUUUUCUCUAGUAAAACACGAUUAAGUUUUAAUCUCACAAAUUUCCUGAAAAUUGAAUCCUAAUUAAACUAAUUUCCAAUAUAUUUUUAUGAAAUUUUUUAAACCCGUUAUUACUGAAAAAACUGAGUUUUUUAUUUUUCGUUUCAAGGACGCACUUAAAAGUUACCUUUUGUUAAAGCUAAAAGAAAUUAUAAAGUAGAAGUUAUUUAUCCUUUUUUUAUUUUUGAAAAUUAUUUUUAGCUUGAAAGUGGUUUGAUAAAUUUUUUAAAGAAAUUAUAAAUUUUAUGAAAUAUUUUAAACACAAUAAAAAAUACUAAAAUAUAAAAAAAGAUUUUAAUUAUUUUUAAUAAAGAUUAACAAAUAUUAUUUGUACUGGGCCGACCGAAAGCAAUAUAUUGGGACGACCGAAAGCUAUGAAAGAAAGCAAUAUAUUGGGACGACCGAAAGCUAUGAAAGAAAGUAAUAUAUAUUGGGCCGACCAAAAGCUAUGAAAGAAAGUAAUAUAUAUUGGGCCGACCGAAAGCUGUGAAAGAAAGUAAUAUAUAUUGGGCCGACCGAAAGCUGUGAAAGAAAGUAAUAUAUAUUGGGCCGACCGAAAGCAAUGGCCCGACCGAAAGCUAUGAAAGAAAUAGAAUAGAAUGGAAAUUAUUAUUAAGCGACCGAAAGCAACGGACCGACCGAAGGCAAAAGCCUAUGCCCAAUUAGGUCCAAAUAUGCGGGUGUAUGUAGUAAAGGCUUGAUACAAAGAGAAAACGUCCAAAUAACUUCUGGGCCCAAUAAAAGAGUAGUAUAAAUACAGGGUCAUCCUGAGAGGUGAGGUAAGUGAAAGAGACUCUGACAUCUUUUCAAACUGAAUCUAACUUUGGCAUCGGAGCACCUUUCAGGUACGCACACCCGUCCGUGAGAGGAAGCCGAGACUAAAAACCGAAAGAUCAUACCGAGAAGGGAGUUUGGAAGCGCUGGCCGAGAGGUCGAUCUGUGGAAGCCGAAAGAAGUGUGUUUCUAGGCCCUUGUAAGAACAUUUUGGCGCCCACCGUGGGGCCGAGAAACAAGAUGAGCGAAGGAGGAGAACAUCCCAGAGAACAAGAAGAUUGUCAGAACGCCAUGACUAUGGCUAUGUUAAUACAAUUGCAAGAGGAAUUUGAAACACUGAAGAAGAGUAAUGAAGAGGAGUUGAGCGUGUUGAGAGCUGAGAAUGCUAGCAUGAGGCAAAGAUUGAAUGGAGAAGCCGUGUUAAAUGCUUCUCUUGAAACUUUUCCGCCGAGAAAUUUCACAAAUGAAAGAGAGAAUAAGGAAGAGAGUUUCGGGGUUACACAAAGGAAGAUACCUGAGACUUCCGAUGUCGCUGUGGAAACGCCAGCCAGAAGACACCCGUUUUCUGAGACUAUAAUAGAGACCCCGUUACCUGACAAUUGGAAGAGUCUAACAAUAGAGAAGUAUGAUGGGAGCACAGAUCCGGAUGAACAUGUUGCAAUAUACACAACUCAAAUAAGUCUGUACACGUGGAACGACGCCAUUCUAUGUAGGGUUUUCCUGACUACCUUGAAAGGAGCCGCUUUGAGCUGGUUUACCCGGCUACCACCCUUAUCUGUUGAUUGUUUUGACACUUUGAUAGAAAAGUUUGGAGCUCAAUUCGCUACAAGCAGACCACAUCACUUAACAUCUAUAGCUCUCGUAAACAUAAGACAAGAACAGAAUGAGUCACUGCGAGCUUUUAUGGAACGCUUUGGAAGGAUGGCUUUAAGCAUUAGAAACCUCAGUCCGGAAGUUUCUAUGCAUCAUAUGAUAACUGCCUUGAAACCGGGACCAUUCGCCGAUAGCUUGUGCAAAAAACCGGCCGAAAGCCUUGAUGAAUUAAGACGGCGUGCAGCAAAGUUCAUGCAGAUGGAAGAGUUAAGGGACUUCAGAAAUCAAGCAAGGAUGGACGUGAAGAAUGAGAGGAAAACAAAUGAAAGGGAGGCAGGAUAUCAAGGCAGACGUUUCAGAGAGGAACCCCGAAGCCGAAAGUUUCAACAAUACACACCAUUGAGCACAACUCGGACCCGAAUACUUCAAGAGGCGAUGGCAACCGAAGUAAUGCCGCCACCAGCAAAAGCACGAACCCCAGAGCGGGCUGACCGAAAUAAACAUUGCCAGUACCAUAAAAAUCAUGGCCAUCACACUGAAGAAUGUAUAGGCCUGAAGGACCGAAUUGAAGAGUUAAUCCAGGCGGGACAACUAAAACGCUUUCUGGGAGUCAGAAGAAUGAAGGCCAGUCAAAGUCCAGAACAAUAUGUCAGAAAUAGAGGAGAAAAAUUUAGAAGAACGACUGAUACACAAAACGACCGACAGGAGAGAAAAGCAGAAAGAAACGAAAAAGGAGACCUAAGAAGUGGACGAAGUCACCAUUCCCAAGAAAGAAGGAGCCGACAACGCAGCUUGGGAAGGCCGGUUCGGGGGUUCGUCAAUACCAUUUCUGGAGGUUUUCCGGGAAAGGACGCACACAGUACCAUGACUGUCAACCAUGUUUUCAAAACAAGGAGUUUGCCGCCUAUGUUAUUUACUGAUGAAGAUUUCCAGGAUAUUGACCCUGAUCAACGUGACCCAAUGGGGAUAACAGUUGAAAUUGCCAAGUACGCGAUAAUGAAAACUCUUGUAGAUCAAGGCAGUUCAGUUGAUAUUCUGUUCUGGGAAACCUUCCAAAAGUUAUAUCUGAAAGAACAGGACAUGGUCUCUGUGAAAGAGCAAAUAAUUGGGUUUUCAGGUGAAAAGGUUGAAACCAAAGGAUACAUUGAUCUGCCGACAACUUUCGGUAGAGGAAAUGCGACGAAAACAAUUACAAUCAGAUACUUGGUGGUAGAUACUCGUACUUCUUAUAAUGCCCUCUUGGGAAGAUCUUCGUUAAAUGAGUUAGGAGCUAUAGUGUCGACACCACAUUUGGCAAUGAAAUUUCCCACUGAAUGGGGUGACAUAGCAACUAUAUGUCAACCAAAAGGCAGCCAAAGAGUGUUAUGCGACCGGAUUGAAAAUGGUCCAAGAGCCGAGAGUUUCGACCCGAAGAACGAGAGCAAGAAACAUGGUUGCAAUGGUAGACUUGGAUCCCAGAAUGAAUGAUGAUGAACGAAUGGAACCAAGAGAAGAAAUUACAUCGCUUCAAUUAGGCGAAGAUGAAACCCAAUGUACAUACAUUGGGGGAAGCAUGCCUGAAAAGAUAAUUGACGAUUUGGUAGCAGUAAUAAGAACGAACAAAGACUUGUUUGCCUGGAAGGCGUCGGACAUACCGGGAAUUGACCCUAACAUUGUUUCUCACAAAUUAUCUGUUUGCCGAGAAGCCAGGCCGAUAGCUCAGAAACGGAGGAAGUUGGGAGAAGAAAAACGAAAGGCUGCUCUUGGAGAAACCGAGAAAUUGUUACAAGCCGGUUUCAUUAAAGAAAUCCAGUAUACGACCUGGUUGGCGAAUGUAGUACUAGUCAAGAAGGCAAACGGAAAUUGGAGGAUGUGUACUGAUUAUACAGAUUUGAAUAAGGCAUGUCCGAAAGAUUCAUAUCCAUUGCCGAGUAUUGACAGGUUGGUUGAUGGGGCAUCGGGCCAAGCCAUGAUGAGUUUUUUGGAUGCUUACUCCAGCUACAAUCAAAUACAAAUGUAUGAACCCGACAUCCCGAAAACUGCGUUCACCACCGAUAUGGCCAACUACUGCUACCAGGUCAUGCCUUUCGGUUUAAAAAACGCUGGGGCCACAUAUCAAAGACUGAUGGAUACGAUGUUCAAAAAACAAAUAGGAAAGAAUAUGGAAGUUUAUGUGGACGAUAUGAUCGUCAAGUCACAGGCGGACGAUAACCAUGUACAAGAUCUUGAAGAAGUAUUUGCUCAGGUCAGGAAGUAUAACCUGCGAUUAAAUCCAGAAAAAUGUGUUUUUGGAGUCAAAGGUGGGAAGUUCCUUGGUUUCAUGUUGACUAACAGAGGAAUUGAAGCAAAUUCAGAUAAAUGCGAAGCAAUAAUGAAUAUGAGAAAUCCGGCAAAUCUGAAAGAAGUUCAGAGGUUGAUGGGAAGGUUAAAUGCAUUGGCACGGUUUUUGCCCACACUUGCCGAAAAAUCAAAACCAAUAUGUUAAGGAAGGCCGAAACAUUCACAUGGAAUGCACAAUGCGAGCAAGCUUUUGCAACCAUUAAAGAGACAAUAGCAAAGCCUCCCAUCCUGGUCAAACCUGUGUCAACUCUGCCUAUCAUCGUCUAUCUCGCUACUUCUCACGAAGCCAUAGGAGCAGCCUUGAUACAGGAAAAUCCGGAACAAAAACCGGUAUACUUCGUGAGCAGAGUCCUUCAAAGCGCCGAAACCAGAUACCAACACGUUGAGAAAAUCGCCCUAACUCUUGUAUACGCAGCAAGACGACUCCGGCCAUAUUUUCAGAAUCACCAAGUUAUUGUCAGAACCGAUUGCCCAAUAGCCAAAGUAUUGAGAAAACCUGAACUGGCCGGACGAAUGGUGACAUGGUCAAUAGAGUUGUCUGAAUUUGGAAUCAAAUAUGAGCCAAGAGGAGCCAUCAAAGCACAAGCGCUAGCAGACUUCAUUAUCCAGAUGCCAACAGCUGAAACCGAUCAUGAAGCGUGGAUCGUAUCCGUUGACGGAUCAUCUAGCAAGAAAGGCGGUGGUGCAGGAAUCGUGCUAGAAGGACCAGGAAAUUUUCAUUUGGAAAUGGCCCUAAAAUUUGAAUUCAAGACUUCAAAUAACCAAGCCGAGUAUGAAGCUUUAAUCGCGGGAUUGGUUUUAGCCCAAGACAUGGGUGCACAAAAUAUUAUAUGCCGGAGUGAUUCUCAGUUAAUGGUUGGACAUAUGAAAGGUGAAUACCAGGUGCGAGAUCCCUUGUUACUACGGUAUUAUCACAAAGUCUUGAGCAUCAUGGGAAACUUCACCACAGCCGAGAUCAUACAUAUCCCGAGAGAGCAAAAUACGAAGGCCGAUUCUUUAUCCAAGUUGGCCAGUCAACAGAAACAAUCUCAGCACAACUCCAUUUUACAACAGACAAUGCACAACCCGACGGUCGGAGUGGAAGAAUGUUUAAUUGUUACCACGGAGAAAGACGAUUGGAUCCGAUCAUACAAAGAAGUGAUUUCCAAUCAAGAACAAGGAAUUGAAACUGAUGUUAGGACGGCUAGGAAAGCUGCUAAUUUUAUCCUCAUAGGGGCCGAACUGUAUAAGAGGGGGUUUUCAACCCCUUUGUUAAAAUGCCUUUCCUAUGAGCAAGCCGAGCAUGUAAUCCGAGAACUUCAUGAAGGCUUAUGCGGAUUGCACUGUGGAGCGCGAACAAUGGCAACAAGAAUCUGUCGAGCCGGAUAUUAUUGGCCAACAAUACGUGAAGAUUGCAAUCAAUACGUUAAAGCCUGCAAGAAGUGCCAGGAAUUCGGCAGCCUCAACCAUAUACCAUCACAAGAACUGCAAAGGAUUGCUUCUCCCUGGCCAUUUGCUAAGUGGGGAAUGGAUAUCCUCGGCCCAUUCCCUUUAGGCCGAGGACAAACAAAAUUCAUGAUUGUUGCAGUUGAUUAUUUCACAAAAUGGAUAGAGGCGGAAGCAUUGACAAAAAUAACGGCUCAACAGGUUCAAACCUUUGUGUGGAAGAACAUCAUUUGCAGAUUCGGUCUUCCACACUCUAUUAUAACCGACAAUGGCCGGCAGUUCACGGAUAAAAAACUUCUGCAGUUCUAUGCGGAUUUGGGAAUCAAGCCUACAACUACCUCAGUUGAACAUCCGCAAACAAAUGGGCAAGCAGAAUCAGCUAACAAAGUCAUUCUUAGUCAACUGAAGCGGAGAUUGGGAAGUGCGAAAGGUUUGUGGGCUGAGAAGUUAUCUGAAAUAUUGUGGGCAUAUAGAUGCGCACCGCAAACAUCAACUGGAGAAACACCAUUUAAUCUCACAUACGAAACAGAUGCUAUGCUACCCAUAGAGAUCACCGAACCAACAUUACGAAGACAAAUAGAAGAUUGGAGCGUUAACAAUGAAUGCUUGAAAGCAGACUUGGAUCUGAUCGAGGAACUUCGAGAGAAAGCCAAAAUCAGAGAGGAGGCCGUAAAAAGAAGAGCAUGUAAGAGGUUCAACGCAAAGGUGAGGCCGAGAACUUUCAAUAAAGGAGAUCUAGUAUGGAGAAUGAGAACUGAUGCGAGAAAAGAUCCAGCAGAAGGGAAGUUCGCGUCAAACUGGGAAGGGCCAUUCAGAAUCACUGAAAACCUAAAGAACGGAGCCUAUAGAUUGGAGACAUUAGACGAGAAGAUAAUACCCAGAACGUGGAAUACCAGUCACUUAAAGUUUUAUUUCAGUUAAGGCUUGUACCUUACAAAAUAAUCAAUGGAUGCAAGAGUCAUGUAAAAAAAAAUUAUUAUAAUUUGAAGUUGUUAAAAAUAAAGAAAAAAAGUUAAAGUAAAGAGGGUUGGAAUCCAAGAUUCUCUUCAAGAAUACACAAAGAAACCAUCAAGGAAUAUUAAGCAACGUAAUUAGAGAAAAAAAAAAACAUAAAAUUAGUUACGAUAAUAAUGUACUCUAAUUAGAUAUAUCAUUAAACUUAACUAUCAUAGUCAAACUAAUUCCCAUGUUCUUGUAAUUGUUAGUCACUUUUAUUCAAGUAAUUUUAUUUUAGCAUCCAAAUAUCACUUUUAAAAUAUUAUUCUCUAAACAUUGUGAUUGAGAUUAGUAUGUGAAUGAAUAGAGUGAAAGAUACUUAUGAGAAGACGAAAUAAUCAUUUUUAAUAUAAGUUUCUUUUUAAACCAGUAUUCCUAGGGUUAAUUCUUGCAAAAAUAAAGUCUAACAAAAUCUGAAAUGUUUUGGUCUAUAAUGAAGGAUUCAUGAUCGAAUCCAUCACAUAAGCAAAGCCUUUUCUUUUUGUUCAAAGAGUUUCUUCCUGCACCCCCAACAAUUUUCUUGAAAACACUUUCCAGAACAGACUACAUUUUGAAAUGUAUUUUUCAGUGUAUAUUUUGAAAACAAAAUUUCCAAAAUAAGGACAAAUUAGAUGAGAAGAUUUGGUCAUUUCACCUAUUUGAUGAAAUGCAUGAAGAACAAACUUUGAUGAGGUGGAGAAAAAACUUUAAUAAGAUACAUGAAGAAACACCCUACUCAAAAUACAUGCCUUGAUAUUUUUAGGGGUUUAAGAGGUAAAGCAAUUUACUUGGGAUGUUUCUUCCUGUAUCCCUACAUUAAUGUGAAUUGACAAAAUUAACCUGGAAAAUGUUUAAAAACCCUAAGCCAACGCAAACUGCCCUCCUUGUUUAUUCUCUGCACUUUUUGUUGACACUGUUGCAAGCAGCGGCAAACAUGGUGGAGAAGGAAUGUAAGUUUAUUGGCAGAGUUGCAAAUCUGGAAUUGAAAUGGAAAGUGUAUGAUUAUAGCAUUUCAGAAUUGACAGUCCAUAACUGUUACCCUAUAUUGGCUAAAUCUGUGAACAAGAAAAAGGACACCAUGCAUGGAUGGAUGUGAAUAGAGAAAGAGUGAAAAGAAAAGGUGUUGUGCCCACUAAUGAAUGUGCAGUAAGUAGUCCCUUCUUAUUUUCCUCUCUCACUGCUACUUCUUGUGACUGCCAUUAACAUUCCAAGAUUGGUUUGAUUCACUUCCAAAUUUCCUUUUCCGGAACAACAGACUUACACAACACCCCUCCUUCGGGAAUUCAUUUAUCUACCUUACAGAGUAUUCAUUUCAAAAUUUUGAAUAAAACUAGCAAGGUAAUUUUGAUAUUUUAAAAAUUGUAGGAGUGCAUAGGGGUGCAAGAAGAAACACCUUUUACGCUAGUGUGCAACUAUAAAAUGCUUUAUACUUAAAAAUUAUUAAUUAUUUUCUAAGUAUUAUCUAUAAUAAAAUUUAAUUAAUAUAAAAAAAUACUUUUAAUCUAGUUAGAAAUCUCUAAUAAAUUAAAAAAGUAUUUUAAAUAUAUAGGACUUAAAGUGCUGAAAGUCAGGGUGUCCAAAAAUGUUUAAAUGAAAAUCCCCAGUAUUUUUAUGCUUCUUGCUGAGGCUAGACUCAAAUUUGGAUAUAAAUGAAAUUUAACUUUAUUUAACAACACUUAAUUCUCCGAAAGUUCGAAUGAAACUCAGAAAGGCAGUCACAUUUAAACUACAGUAGUAAAAAAUAGUCUAAAUUACAUGGAACAAACUGUGAUAAACUCUUAAAAAGUCGAAAAUAUCACAACGAAGUUAUAGCUAAUCAAAGCAAUUGGAUAUGAAACUGAGGAGGCUAAUAAUAUAUUCUCAUUCUUUGUAUAGGAUCCGAAUAAUCAAGAGCAGAUAAUUUUUUUCAAUAAAGACUGCACCUUAGAGUGAUGGAACCAAGAAUCAUUCCUCUGGAUCCUCAAACCCAUAUAGUUACAAACAUCCCUCCCGAAGAGAUUCUGAAUACCCGUACUGCCACUUUUCACAUAUCAGACACGGACCAAAGAUAAGCUUCUCUAUCUCUAGCUUGCCUCUCAUUUGUUCUCUUGAACAUAUCCUUUUCGAACCCUGCAAACAGCAGUGAUAAGUCAAUCAUUUAAGCCUAUUUCCAUGAGAAAAGUACAAAACCUAUGGUGAAUAUGAACCAACCAUUACUACGAUCAACACCAUCCCAGUGUCGUCCGGGCGUUAUUCCAUACCGAUUUGAAGCAGCAUCUAAACCUCUUUUUAACCAGCUGUGAUUUGGAAUAUCCUGGGGGACUACAAAACCUGAUUCCUUCAUCUUCUCAUUUUCCCCCAAGUUUGGAAGAACAGGCUCUGGAUAUUUUUUCUACAAAACAAUUGACACAAUAAACAUGUGAGAACUGAUCAAACCCCAUCUCACACAUCAAGCAAUAUGAAAUGUUUUGCAUUACCUUUACAAGAUGUGCCAUCGGAUCACCCCACCUUAAUCUCUCCUUCAGCAUUUUGUCUAGUUCAGGAUCAUCUCUGAAGGAAACAAAUGCAAAUACAGCAUAAGAGAUAGGGAGACGCGAAGGAAAAUGGAACCUUGAUCAAUGACAUAAACAUUGCAUCUCAAUGACAGUAUUUGCUCUCAAUGGGAUUUUCAGUAACAUACAAAUAAUUUAUAAAUAAAUUUCCAUGCUGGUACAUGGUAAACUAAGUAAUUAUAUAGCACUACUAAUUACCCCCGAAAAAACGAAAUUAUGUUCAAACAGGUGUAAAAAAGAUCAUCUCUUUUGAUUAUAUACAUGAUAAUCCAUAAAUGAUGUAGGAAUUACUUCCGGAAAUAUUUAAUGAUGGACAUGAAUUUCUAUUUAACUGAUAGUCUAAAUACAUGAAUGAGGACCAAAAGUAAAAGUUUUAUCUUCAGGAUUCUGGAGCCUAAAGUAAAAUAUGUCUUGAAGAAGAUGGAUUAAUCAGUGAGGCAUUAAAGAGUCUAGGAAAGAGAGUCACGAGUUGGCUCACAAAAUUCUUUUAGCAAGAUUACCAGGUUUAAGAAAAUUUCAAACGAGUAGAGAAGCACUUAAAUCCCUAUUUAUAACAAAGGAGAUAUAUAACUUGCACAAAUUAAGGGAUUAAUCUCAUUGUGCAUUGACACAAGCUGGGAAGAGUUGAUUUGAGUCAAGAGUUGCUUGUUAUGUUGCAUUCAUUCCAAUAGCUGAAUCAAGAAUAAUUUUAUCCAAAUAUGAAAGUUUUACUUAAUGUGUCAAAUAUCAGCCUUAAUCUAAUGUAACAUCCUCUUAGAAAAAAGAGCUUAAAUAAUUCACAGGUAUGGAGAAUCCAAGCAUAUCAAUAUCAAACAUGUAUCCGAUUUUGGUAUGGGGGAUGCAUGUAUUAGUGUUUCAUGGAUUAGGAAUUUUAGUUUUGCAAUUAUAUAUUCAUGUUUUAUGAAUUUUUAUGCAUAUUUAUAUUUGUAUUGUACAACUUAGUAUAAUUUUAAGAAUAAUUGUCACCAACUCAAUGUAUCCCAUAUACACAUGGUAUUUUUUAUACCCCAUAUUAUGUUUGUGCAUCAUAGGUUGCUAGAAUACUAUGAUAACAAAUUUAAACAAUCUAGAAACCAUGUUCCCAAGUACUUAUGUAUACCUAGUCCGUGCAAAAGGCUUCUCCUUCUCAAGUUCUAGUUCCUUCAGCCUAGCCUCAGCUUCACGCUUUUGAGCUAAGCCCUUGCCCCAUUCUAUUUCUAUCUCCUGAAAAACACAAAGAUAGCCAAGAAUUCAGCUUACCAGUUUUCAUGGGAAAACAUGAAUAACAUCAAUGUUCUGACAUAUACUUGAGAUUUUAGAGAACGUAGUGAGUCUCUUGCUACUCACUUGUGUAUAUAUUGUAGUCAUAUAUAAAAGUUGGCAUACAAAAGAAAAAGAGAAAAGAAAAAGGGAAUAGGAGUCAGCCUAUGACCCUUCCAUGAUAAUACAUCAAAAAACAGCUUUAAAAAAACGCUGAACAACAGAUAAAAAGGUUAUUUUAACACACAUUAGAAGUAACAUUCAACUUCAAUUACAGCGUAGGGACAAAAUGACAACAACAAAUAUGACACGGUUUAUUGUCCAUUUGAUGUAAUUGAAAUAUUAAUAGAAAUAAUAUCCUUAAAAAAGCACCAAUAAUAUAUUUUAGUUAAUAAGUGCUUUCAUGGAACAAAUAACUUACUGCUCCAUUUUAUUAGGAAAUUUUAGAUAACUCACCCAGUCACACUAUGAUAAUCAGUCUACUGUUUCGAAUACAAUUUGAUCCUUUCAUUUCUUUUGUUCUACCAAGUUAACAAACCUCCUAAUCUGUACUUUUCAUGCUCAUUGUAUGUAAACCUUACAAAAUCAUCCAUGCAAUUAUGCUUACUGCAAAUUACCAAAUCAAUCUUCAGACCAUCAUUGAAUUUCCAGAUAGUACUCCAGAAAAUAUCCAAGUGAACAAAACAAACUAAGCAAGUAUCUUUUUGACCAUUCAUUACGUACAAACAAAAAGUGGAUCCUCAGAAAGAAUCAUACUUUCUUCACAUAUAUGAUAUGCAUCCAAUUACACAUUAGAAGCAUAGAGAAAGCUACAUCUAGAAACGAUACAACCAUGCUACAAAAAUUAUGCAGUGCACCAAAUACCUUGGGUUUUUCUUCUACUUUCUGUUUUGACUUCAAGUAUUCCUCCUUCGAAAUGCGUACUCCUGCAAAAUUCAGCAUGAUUCAAAAGUUCUUUGUAUCACGAAGACAUCAAAUCACAUUGAACAGAAACAUCAACAAAAAACUGACUAAAAUUCCGACCUUUUAUUUUAUCACGAUAUACAGGUUCAGCACCACGUCCACUGAUGGAAGGGUCCAUCUUGUUAAAUCUGCACAAAACAUAGCUAUCAAUGCCAUGGAGCAAUGUGAAGUACACCAAAACUUCCAUAGAAAGACAGGGAGCGACAAGCAUUGUUACGUGUAUAAAUGAAAUAAGAGUUUCAAUUGUACGAAAGAGGAAUUGCAAGAUUAACCCCCCACCCCCAAAAGCCAACCUUAGACAAUGAAGAAAAGGUGACAAACGGGAUUAUUUUUAACCCCUUUUAUGAGUCACAUCUGCUACCUUUGUGAUUUUAAAUGUUUUUUGGUAUCAUAGCAGCCACAAAGUUAAAACAGAACACAAUCAGGAAAAUUAUAGCCUUGCAAUGCCGCUCAGCCAUAAUAGAUAAUUAAGGCAUAACAGAAAGCAUUUUUAGUCAGAAUGAGGUUUACCAGGAACGUUAGUGACAUAAUAAUAGUCCUGGGCUUCUACGUAAUAGCUUAAGAUUUUGGAAGAAUUUGCCUCAGAAAUGAAAUAUUUUAUCAGUUACCUAUAUCUUGAUAACUGAAUUUUAAUGUUGAUUGUUAAAUGUUGAAAUAUAAUGUUAUUUUAUCAAUAUUUACUUAGUGUGUACCCAGCUUUAGGGUUAGGGUUUUAGGCAAGUGUCUUGCCUCUUUUUGUAUCCCCAUAUAUUUACAUCAAUAAGAAACACAACACUGAUCCAGGCGGGACAACUAAAACGCUUUCUGGGAGUUAGAAGAAUGAAGGCCAGUCAAAGUCCAGAACAAUAUGUCAGAAAUAGAGGAGAAAAAUUUAGAAGAACGACUGAUACACAAAACGACCGACAGGAGAGAAAAGCAGAAGGAAACGAAAAAGGAGACCUAAGAAGUGGACGAAGUCACCAUUCCCAAGAAAGGAGCCGACAACGCAGCUUGGGAAGGCCGGUUCGGGGGUUCGUCAAUACCAUUUCUGGAGGUUUUCCGGGAAAGGACGCACACAGUACCAUGACUGUCAACCAUGUUUUCAAAACAAGGAGUUUGCCGCCUAUGUUAUUUACUGAUGAAGAUUUCCAGGAUAUUGACCCUGAUCAACGUGACCCAAUGGUGAUAACAGUUGAAAUUGCCAAGUACGCGGUAAUGAAAACUCUUGUAGAUCAAGGCAGUUCAGUUGAUAUUCUGUUCUGGGAAACCUUCCAAAAGUUAUAUCUGAAAGAACAGGACAUGGUCUCUGUGAAAGAGCAAAUAAUUGGGUUUUCAGGUGAAAAGGUUGAAACCAAAGGAUACAUUGAUCUGCCGACAACUUUCGGUAGAGGAAAUGCGACGAAAACAAUUACAAUCAGAUACUUGGUGGUAGAUACUCGUACUUCUUAUAAUGCCCUCUUGGGAAGAUCUUCGUUAAAUGAGUUAGGAGCUAUAGUGUCGACACCACAUUUGGCAAUGAAAUUUCCCACUGAAUGGGGUGACAUAGCAACUAUAUAUGUCAACCAAAAGGCAGCCAAAGAGUGUUAUGCGACCGGAUUGAAAAUGGUCCAAGAGCCGAGAGUUUCGACCCGAAGAACGAGAGCAAGAAACAUGGUUGCAAUGGUAGACUUGGAUCCCAGAAUGAAUGAUGAUGAACGAAUGGAACCAAGAGAAGAANNNNNNNNNNNNNNNNNNNNNNNNNNNNNNNNNNNNNNNNNNNNNNNNNNNNNNNNNNNNNNNNNNNNNNNNNNNNNNNNNNNNNNNNNNNNNNNNNNNNNNNNNNNNNNNNNNNNNGCCUGGAAGGCGUCGGACAUACCGGGAAUUGACCCUAACAUUGUUUCUCACAAAUUAUCUGUUUGCCGAGAAGCCAGGCCGAUAGCUCAGAAACGGAGGAAGUUGGGAGAAGAAAAACGAAAGGCUGCUCUUGGAGAAACCGAGAAAUUGUUACAAGCCGGUUUCAUUAAAGAAAUCCAGUAUACGACCUGGUUGGCGAAUGUAGUACUAGUCAAGAAGGCAAACGGAAAUUGGAGGAUGUGUACUGAUUAUACAGAUUUGAAUAAGGCAUGUCCGAAAGAUUCAUAUCCAUUGCCGAGUAUUGACAGGUUGGUUGAUGGGGCAUCGGGCCAAGCCAUGAUGAGUUUUUUGGAUGCUUACUCCGGCUACAAUCAAAUACAAAUGUAUGAACCCGACAUCCCGAAAACUGCGUUCACCACCGAUAUGGCCAACUACUGCUACCAGGUCAUGCCUUUCGGUUUAAAAAACGCUGGGGCCACAUAUCAAAGACUGAUGGAUACGAUGUUCAAAAAACAAAUAGGAAAGAAUAUGGAAGUUUAUGUGGACGAUAUGAUCGUCAAGUCACAGGCGUGCAAUCGUUCGGCCAACACUUGCGAUGUUUAAUCGAGCAAGUUUGGUAGGCGUUCGGCCGGCACUUUCGAUGUUAAUCGAGCAAGCGGGCAAUCGUUCGGCCAAUACUUGCGAUGUUUAAUCAAGCAAGUUUGGAAGGCGUUCGGCCGGCACUUGCGAUGUUAAUCGAGCAAGCGGGCAAUCGUUCGGCCAACACUUGCGAUGUUUAAUCAAGCAAGUUUGGUUGGCGUUCGGCCGGCACUUGCGAUGUUAAUCGAGCAACCGGGCAAUCGUUCGGCCAACACUUGCGAUGUUUAAUCAAGCAAGUUUGGUAGGCGUUCGGCCGGCACUUGCGAUGUUAAUCGAGCUAGCGUGCAAUCGUUCGGCCAACACUUAAAAUACUAUAUUUUUAAUAAUUAAGCAAUCUUGUUUAUAAUAAUUUAUAUAAAAAUAAAUAACAUCUAUAAAACUAAACCCUUGUUGGAAAAGCUCUGAGAGCGUUUAGCAUUGAUGUCCUUGCUUCAAAGCGUGCCCUAAAUCCCCAAUUUCCUCCAUUCUCCUUUCUUCUCUUUUCCUUCCAAAAUCAUCCAUCUUUCUCUCUCUAUUUCUUGGUUGAACGUUGCGAGGGUUUGACGGUGACGGUGCACUUCUCAACCUCUCAUUCUCAGUAUGUAAAGGUACCGAUUUUUUUUCCGAUUACUAGUUAGGAUCUCAAUUUCUCAUUUGCAUUCAAAUCGCACUUAUUGCUGCCUGUAACAUUGAAUGAGAAUAAGGUUUGCUCUCAUCUUCACAUUUCAAAAAAAUUAAAAUAAUGAUAAUAAUUGCAGUAUGAUUGUAGAAAGUAACAUUCUCUUAUGAAACGAGUUCAGUUCAAUAUGAUAAUGACCUCCGUGGCUAUUUAUUCCUUUAUUUUGGUUGAAUUAUAGAGAAAAAAAAAAGCCCCAAUUUUUUUUAUCUAUCUACGCAAUAUUUCAACUAGCCUUAAUUCUAACACCAAAACAAUUGUAGUUUGUAUGUGAUGAGAAUCUUGGUUGCUUGAUGUGUGUUUUGAACGUGUGGUAGGUAUGGUAUUUGUGUACGUAGUUAGUUAGUAGUUGGGUAUUGUUCUUGUUAAUUGAGAAAAAAUUCGACUACAUGUAAGGUAGAGAUUGGCCGGACCAUGGAUUUGGUGGUCUAUGUGUUGUGUAAUGGCUUUUAUAAAGAGUGUGGUUUUCUUGAGAUUUAUGUAGAUUGAAAGGAGUCGCGUUCUGGGUAUGCAUACGUUAGCUCUGUUUGAAUUAGCAUACGCUAACCUAGUAUUGGCUUGUUUGGAUGAACUUAUCUAUAAGCUCUUCUACAGCAGAAAAUAAGAAGAAAAAAAGGAAUUUGACUUUUCUAUAGAUAAGUUAAAAAUAAUAAUAUUGGAAAAGCUAUACGAUAUAUAAGCUCAUGCAUAAGCUAAUUUUAACUUGUAGAAGCUAAUUUCAAAUUGUCUUAUUUUUCUCUUCUAGAAAGAACUUAUGGGGAAAUUCGUUUGGCUUAUUUCAAAGUGAGUGUAAGUUGUUUAACAAGAGAAGUUUAUUUCAUUUCUUAUUUUCUUGUUCUGUUAGUCCUUAUUGUGAAGUUCAUGUGAACUGGGCCAUAUUGUUGUGUGCACUCUUUACAGAUUUUGAUUGUCAUUGGGGUUUUUUCUUGUUAUGAAUGAUGUCCAUGUUGAUUGGGUGAUGAUAAUCAGCUUAGAUAUUAUUUACAGUGGAGAUUUAUGUUCAUGAUGGGUUUUUUUUUCCCUGCUGUUGACUUCUUGUCUUACAUUGAUAUGUUGCAGGUUGUGUCCUUAAAUAGAGAUCAUUAUCAUCAGACUAUAACACAAAUUCUUUCCAAAUGGCACUGGUUGUAAUGUGUGGGCAGCCAUGCAGCGGGAAGUCCAAAGCUGCACUCUGUCUUGUUGAAGCUCUCAAGGAAUCAGAAUCAAAACAUAACGUGAGAAUCAUAGACGAAGCUUGCUUUCAUCUUGAUCGUAACCAAAGCUAUGCAAAUAUGCCUUCAGAGAAGAAUUUAAGAGGGGUGCUUCGGUCAGAAGUAGAUAGGUCUGUGUCCAAAGAUAGUAUCAUCAUAGUAGAUUCUUUGAAUAACAUCAAGGGUUACAGAUACGAGCUAUGGUGCUUGGCUCGAGCUUCUGGAAUCAGAUACUGUGUGGUCUACUGUGACGUUGAAGAAACCUUUUGUAGGAAAUGGAAUGAAGAGCGCAGAGAGAAAGGAGAAGUCAAUUAUAAUGAUUCAAUUUUUGAAGAUUUGGUGAGAAGGUUUGAGAAACCAGAAAGAAGAAACAGGUGGGAUUCUCCAUUGUUUGAAUUAUGGCCACACAGAGAAGGGACAGAGAAAUCUUCCUCUGCCAUUAUAGAUGCUGUCUCCUACUUAACCAAAAAGGUGGACUCCAAAACCAGGGAUGUUAAGAUUCUGCAACCAACUAUUGCCACUCAAACCACACGUUUUUCUGAUGCAAAUUCUCUCUUUGAAUUGGACAAAGCAACACAAGAGGUCACAAAUGCUAUAGUAGAAGCACAAUCUCAAGCUCUUGGAGGACCACUUAACGGUGUUUCGGUGGGAAAAGACUUGCCUGUAAUCAACAUUUCAAGAUCAGUUGGGCUGCCGGAGCUUCGCAGGAUGCGACGCACCUUCAUAAAAUUAACAGGGCAAACAAGUUUAAGUGGGCCACCACCCCCUUCUGAUGCAGACAGUGCAAAAAGGAUGUUCAUUGACUACUUGAACAGGGAACUAGGAACAUCCUGAAGAACAGUAUUUGAAUUGCAAUUCAGCUUGUGUGCUAAAACAUGCCAUGUUUGUAUGUUUAGAUCCCGAACUGUUUUCAUUUUUACUUUACAUCAUUAUUAUUGAAUAAAGUGAUCUUUUUUUAAUCCUUUUGGUUUUUUGUACCAUCGUUUAAAUUCUUUUCCCAGCCCUAGUAGUAAUAAUGAAGUAAAGAUUGUACUCGGGUCUGGUUUAAGAAAAUACAUUUCGCACUUUACAAAAACAUAAGAAUAAUGAAAAAGGUUAUAUAAUUUAAAUAAGAUAUAAAAACUGAAUGCUUGAAUUCACUUUUUUUUUUUCCUUCCUUGCUAAAUAGAACAUACUCCUCCCCACAACUUCUGUAUUGGUAAUUGAGUUGCAUUGGAUAUAUUCAAUGAGAUUCCUUGACAAAAGUGUUACUAGAUAUAACAAAACAUGGUAUUUUUGACGCGUAUACAGCAAUAUUAAACAAAUUUUCAUUAAGUAAAAGGCACGAUGAACCGAGAGAGCAAAUAUUGGAAACCAAAGAAUUGGUGUCAGUUACUUUACUAGUUUUGAUACGAUCUUUGACAUAGUUUAGGACUCGUGACGUAACAAGACUCGUGCGAUUAACAUGAGAUCACAACCAAAGUCAUUCUAUUGGACAUCAUAUUCUAUAUUAUUACAAUUGCUAAAGAAGAAACAUCCUCUUUUUUUUAGUAGAAAAAAAUGCACCAUUACACAGUAACGAAUUUGCUUAGAUAACAUUUAUGGUGAGCGUGUACACAGACCCACACAUAAAUAAACUAUGCGUAAAACUAACAAUUCUUUCCCUGCUGAUGAUGCAUACACAGUAUUUUUUUCCUGAUAAAAUUUUGGGCAGAAAUGAAACUAUCUCUGGAUUAGCAAGCAAAUAAUGGUGGAAUGCUAUGGUGAUGCUCCAGAUCAACCAUAUAACCUUUGAUAAUUUGAAUGAGAAAAGAAACAAUGAUUGAUUGCACUUGUGUGUGCUUGUGACCCUAAAAGCUAUGGUGAGCUGGACAUGCACAAGAUCUUCCAGAAAUGGGCUAGAGUGAAAGAAGUUUUCAUCGCGCGCAGGCUGAACAAGGGGGGGAGAAGAUUUGGCUUUGUCCGUUUCUUCGAAGUGGGAAAUGCGGCAAGAUUAGAGAAGGAGCUAGACCAAAUAUUUAUUGGCAAUGUGAAGCUCCAUGUCAAUGUUCCGAGAUACAGGAGGUUUGUCCCCGAUAACAUCAGGGUGUCGUCCAAGGUUUAUAAGUUUCCUCCGGUGGUGCCGCAUUCUGAGUCAAAGAGGAGGGGAGGGGAAGGCCUGGCGGAAAAUCGGAGGGAGAGGAAGAAGGAGGCAUGGGUGAAGAAGAAAGGGGAAGAGUCAUAUGCUGAUAUAGUAAGGGGAGGUCCUCGUCAGGUGUGGAAGGGACCAACGUUUUCAGUCCAAAAAUAGUUCUUACCAUGGAUGGAGGCAAGCGUUAUUGGCCAGUUGCGUGCAGAACUAGACCUCGAACAGUUACGCGAAGAGUUCCUGAAAGGUGGGUUGAGCAUGGUUUAUUUGCGCUCCUUAGGAGACAACCUAGUUCUGCUAAUGCCAAGGGAAGGGGAGAGUAUGCAGGCUCUUAUUAAGCUUAAUAAGGAGUGGUUUGAGAGUGUCUUCACAAGCUUUGAACCAUGGUCGGAAAAUUGCACAGCGAGCCACAAAAUCGUCUGGGUAAGGUGCUAUGGGCUACCCCUUUCUCUCUGGAACAAGGAGUGCUUCUCUAAAGUGAUGGGAGAUAAGGCAACUAUAGUGUCUAUUGGUAAAUCCACUCUCCUAUGGGAGAACUUGGAGUAUGCUAUUCUCCAAGUCAGGAUGCCAAAGAGUCAGAGUGUAAGGUUGGCGGCAGAUAUGAAGAUCAAUAAUAAUCUUUAUAGUAUCCUCAUAGAAGAAGAAGUAAUAUGCGGGAAUAGAGGUUCAUGCAGGUGUAUCCAUGAUGACGUUGGUUCCUCGGAUAGUAUUUCCUCGUCGGAAACCUAUGUAGAGGAUACUGCCUCUGUGAAUAGUUGUGAAGAGGAAGGAGAAGUUCGGGGUCGGAUACGGCAGUGGCCUAGGGGGGAGGUGAUCGGUGGCGAAAUCAACGGUGAAGAAGUCCUAAUCGGAAGGGAGGUGGUAGGUGACGGUGAGGGUCAAGAGAAAACGACAAAAGGUUUGGUUUUUGGGGAGGUAACUUCUAAGGGUCUAGACUGUCAGAGGGUCAGUGCUAAGAGUUUCACCAAUGUGGAAACAGUACAUCAGAUAGUCUCUGAUGAAGCGGCGAUCCUGAAAACCUGUAGCCUUGGGUCUACAGCUUCGUACAAUAGCACCAUCCUUCGGGCUGACGUGGCCAAGUUAGUUGUGGAUGAGGAAUUAAGUUGCACUCAGCACGUGCUCUCUCCCUCUUUGGGCCACGAAGAAAUUCGGACGGCCCAUUUAGGCACUGGGUUAGUCCAUUCGCUAGCCCAUGAGGGAGCUUCGGUCGUUCGGGAGCUGGAGCAAAGUGAAGUCUUGGUAAUACGUGGCCAUGAGGUCAGAAAAGGGGGAAGUGGAAUCAGGAACCAAUCCCCUAGGGGUAGACUGCGAACGAAGGGGCUGGGGGAAAUGGCGGAACCAAGCACCCUUCCACGGAGGUCAAUAAGAGUAUGGCCCUCUCAGGUAAGGAACUCUGCCUCAAAAGCUGGAACUUUAUCUGCAACAAUCUCUGAUGGGGAUACCAUCAUUUGUAAUUCAAGGCCCCGGGACCUGGAUGUAAUGGAGGAACCACUAAAGUUGUGGGAGAUGGGCAAACAGAUGGGAAUUGUAUGUCGUAGGAUAGAAGAAGAGGUUGUGAAGGAAUAUCAGAGUAUGGAAGUGAGAGAUGUAGAGUUUGCACAGAAGCUAGAAGAGGGGGUAACAAAAGGUCUCCUAUGCUGAUAGUUAGCUUGAACAUCCGAGGUUUGGGGGGAGGAACAAAAAGCAGAUAUCUGAAAAAUUUGAUCUCAAGAGAAGGAGCAGAGUUUGUUUGCAUUCAAGAAACGAAACUGAAGGGGUUCACUGAUGCUAGAUGUUUUGCUUUGUGGGGGGACAAUAGAGUCGGGUGGAUUCACUAUGAAGGUGAAAAUGGUGGUGGAAGCUUGCUGUCCAUGUGGCACAAAGAUAUGUUCUGCUAUGAGAGUCAUGUGAUGGGGAAGGGUUUCAUAGUUAUCUUUGGCCAACACCUACGGUCUUCACGUAAGUGUGUAAUUGUCAAUAUUUACUCAGCCUGUAGUCUAAGAGAAAAGAAGAUUCUCUGGGAGGAGAUAACUGGUAUUAAAGAAGCGUCACAGGAGUUGGUUUGGUGUCUCUGUGGUGACUUUAAUGCUGUAAGAAGCAGACGGGAAAGGAAAGGUGCUAGCAGUCGGGGUGCAACUGCAAGCGGUCAAACGAGUGAGAUAAAUGGUUUCAAUUGUUUUAUCGACUCUAAUUUGCUUCUGGAUCUCCCUAUAGUAGGGAAAGCUUACACGUGGUUUAGAGCAAAUGGGUCGGCUAUGAGCAGGCUUGAUAGAAUCCUUGUCACCGAGGAGUGGUUGAGCUUAUGGCCAAAAUGCAAACAAUAUGUCCAACAGAGGGAAGUGUCUGAUCACUGUGCUUUGGUGGUGAAGACCUUGGAUAAGGACUGGGGACCCAAGCCCUUUCGAAACAUCGAUGCCUAGCAUAUGGAUAGAGGGUUCAAUGGGAUGGUGAAGGGAAAGUGGCAAUCUUAUCCAGCCCAAAGGAAUGCCAUCUUGAACCUUAAGGUUAAGUUGAAGCUACUCAAAGGGGAUUUGAAAAUCUGGAAUAGAGAAGUGUACGGCAAUCUUAAUACCAUUAAGAAUGGUAUCCUGCGCGAAAUCGAGGCCUUUGACAACCAAGAUAAGGAUGGAGGUUCGGUGGUUAGGGGGAGGAUGGAGAGACUGGAAUUACUGAACCAGCUAGGGGAGGUUGACAGAAAGAUAGACUCCCUCAUUAGUCAAAAAGCAAGAGCUUGUUGGUUCAAGUAUGGAGAUUCGUGUACAAAAUUUUUUCACUCCUCCUUGAGAUGGAGAAGGCUUAGAAACGAAGUAAAAGGUGUUGAGGUUGGGGGUCAGUGGUGUGAGGAGCCUGCUACGGUUCGAGCAGAGGCUAAGAAGUUGUUUGAGAACAGGUUUAAAGCAACAAGGGAUUUUGGGGUUAGACUCGAUGAAGUGGAGUUCAAAACUAUCUCCCCAGAAGACAACCUGUUUCUUAUAUCUGGUUUUAAGGAAGAUGAAGUCAAGGAAGCGGUGUGGCAUUGUGAAGGUUCAAAGAGUCCAGGACCCGACGGGUUCAACUUUAACUUUAUCAAGGAAAGUUGGGAGUUUAUAAAAGACGAGUUUGUUAAGGCCUUGGCUGUGUUCCAUGAUACAGGGUCUAUUCCUAAGGGCUGUAAUGCAUCCUUCAUAGCUUUGGUUCCAAAGGUGAAGGACCCCUGUUCGCUGGAGCAAUAUCGACCCAUCUCAUUAGUGGGGGCUCUAUACAAAGUUAUAGCAAAGGUGUUGGCUGAAAGAAUAAAGAAAGUGUUGAACUCCGUUAUUGAUGAAAGUCAAUCUGCUUUCUUAAAGGGGAGAGGGAUCUUAGAUAGCGUACUCAUGGCCAAUGAGGUGGUAGAGGAUCUCAGAAGGCGUGAGAGGAGUGGCCUCUGCUUGAAGGUGGACUUUGAAAAAGCAUAUGACUCGGUGCGGUGGGAGUUUAUGUACGAUAUGCUCUACAAAAUGGGUUUCCACUGCAAGUGGGUGACGUGGAUACGAGGCUGCAUGGAAUCGGCCUCAGUGUCCGUUUUAGUUAACGGGAGCCCUACGGAGGAAUUCAAACCUUCUAGAGGUUUGAGGCAAGGUGACCCGCUAGCCCCGUUCCUCUUCAUUGUGGUUGCUGAAGGCCUAGCUGGGCUAGUUAGGCAAGCGAACAAGGCCAAUCUGCUAUCGGGCGUUAAGUUCGGUAGAGGAGAGGUGGAGAUUAGCAUCAUGCAAUUCGCAGACGACACCCUCUUCCUUUGUGAAGCGUCGUACAGCAAUGUUGUUGCCGUGAAGGCGAUCCUAAGGGGGUUUGAACUAGCAUCAGGCUUAAAGAUAAAUUUCCAUAAGUCAAAGAUUGCAGGUGUGAACGUGGAUAACUUUGCUCUGUUAAGCUAUGCAAAAACCCUGAGUUGUGCCCAGAUGGGAGUCCCGUUUAAAUAUCUUGGAUUAGAAGUGGGGGGGAAUCCAAGGAAGGUGAAGUUCUGGGAACCGGUGUUAACCAAGCUUAAAGCUAGACUCAAUGUCUGGAAAGGAAGAUUUUUGUCAAUGGCAGGGAGAAUUUGCCUAAUCAAAUCGGUUAUCUCAGCGAUUUCGCUUUUCUAUCUCUCUAUCUUCAAAGCACCGGAAUCUAUAUAUAAAAGCAUUAUCAGCAUUCAGCGAAGGUUCUUGUGGGGAUGGGGGAAGGAGAAGAGGUCGAUACCCUGGGUUAGCUGGGAAAAUGUAUGCAAACCGAAGGAGGAGGGUGGUCUGGGGAUCAGAGAUAUUCGGAAGUUUAAUUACGCCCUCCUAGCCAAGUGGAGAUGGAGGAUGGUAUCGGAAGAAAAGGGGAGGUGGAAAGACUUAUUGAUCUCAAAGUAUGGGAUGAAUCUGGAUCGUUCGCUUGGCCCAGUGAAAUUCCAAUCAUGGUGGUGGAGAGAUUUGAAAAAAGUGUGCACAGAGGGAGAAGGAGGAGGGUGGUUCAAAAAUCAACUUGUAUGGAAGGUAGGAGGCGGUGAAAAAGUGAACUUCUGGGAGGAUGUGUGGAUUGGCAAUAUCAACCUCAAAACCCUCUACCCAAGGUUGUUCUCCUUAUCCUUGGACCAGGGCCUAAUGGUGAGUGAGGUUGGGGAGUGGGUAAGCGCUGUUUGGAGGUGGGACUUAAGGUGGAGAAGGGAUAGGUAUGAAUGGGAAUCCCCGUUGGAAGCAAACCUUGUCCAACUGCUAUCCCGAGUAAGUCCGUCAAGGGGUCACAAAGACGUUUAGACGUGGGGGUGUGAUGGAUCGGGGUCCUUUUCUGUCCCUUCUGCAUAUGAAUGCUUAGCUAAACAGGAUAGUAGUCCGCGCCACGAAGUUUUCGAGCAUCUGUGGAGAAUCAAAGCCUUCCCCAAUACAAUAACAACUGCUUGGAGAGUCCUCCUAAGUAGAAUCCCAACCAGAGUUGAUUUGAGGAGGAGAGGAGUGUUGCUUAACACAAUUUUAUGUGAGCGUUGUCAAACAAAGGAGGAAUCCUGCCAACACAUCUUCUUAGAAUGCCCCUUCGCCCAGAAAGUGUGGAGGUCUUGUUUUAUAUGGAUUGGCAUCUCUUUUGUGCAGCACAAUGUUCUUAUGAUGCACUUUGACAAAAUCUCUUGUGGAAAGGAGUUUGGGCGUGUGUUGUAAGGAGCAUUUGGGAGCAUAGGAAUUCGGUUGUUUUCAAACAAGGUGUUGUAGAUGCGGAAGAGACUUUUUCGAUGGCUCAACUCAAAUCAUGGCAAUGGCUAAAGCACAGAGGUCACCGCUGGUGUUAUUCUCUGGCUGAUUGGAUCCUAAAUCCCCUUAUCUGUAUCAGAAGCUUUAAGUGAUGGAUGCUGGAAGGUGUUCUUGAGGAGAGGAUUUUGAGGCUGCAGGAACAGAGUUAAAUGCAGAGGAGGUAACAUCAAGAGCAGCCAUGAGGCCUGUCAGAAUAUACAAAGGGGGAAUGGAGAGUGUCCUAACAGUUGGCAAGGAGGAGCUAACCGUCCAGGAGUGCUAGGAGAAGGGGAAUUUGAUGCUGAUUGAUCCUUAACAGUGUGCCUAGAUGGUUCUCUGUCUUUUGACUCUCAGGGACCAGGCGGUUGGAGGGUGGAUUCAGAGGUUGGCUGGCCUUGACCGGGCACUGCUGUAGGAUAGUGUGUUUUUGAUGCGGUACCGGCAUUUGAUGUUGAACUUGGUGUCACUACUUUUGCCGCAUUGCAAGAAGGAUAACAAGGUUGAAUCAAAGGAAUCUAAAGGCGCCACCCUGAACGAGCUUGUUGAGCUCAAAAGUUGCCCCUCGUGUCUUUUGUUUGAGUGCAGGAAGCAAAAACAUCUUUUUCUCUGGACGGCCAAAUGCCCCAGUGGCCCAUCUGUAAAAUUUCUAGUUAGUGCGGUGCAUACUAUGGAGGAGUUGAAGCUAACGGGAAAUCACCUAAAAGAUUUCUACUCAUCAUAAUGAAGCAGAUAAAUUACCAAAGGGAGGCCUUGAUAAAAGUCUUUGUUUGAGGUUCGAGCUUUGGAGUAAAAGUAGAAGGCUGGAAAGUUUGCGAAGAAGGUCAAAGCAAAGACAAGGAGGAAAAUGCAAGAGAUGUCUAAUCCUCUGGAGCCUGAUGAGUUUGCAGAUAUGUGGAAAGAUUGAUUUUGAAUACAACUGCAGCUAAAGAGGGUGCGUGCUGGUCAACAGAACCAGGGAGCUGCUGGUCACCACAGUGGUGCUUGCUGUUGAAGGAGUCUCCACUGUUUUUUUUCUCUCAAACCUUAUUAUUACAAUAAUCCCUCUUGUCAGACUUAUUGAUCUCAAAGUAUGGGAUGAAUCUGUUGUAAUUGAGAGUGGAAAGAUGGAUGUUCAGGACUUAGCAGAGUAAGCUGGCAUCUCUUUUUCAAAAAAGUUGGUAAAAAGGAUACUCUGGACUGUGUCAAGGAAUAUAUAUCAGCAGGAAUAGAUACUGGUGGUGUGCUUGGGUUUCUAUAAAUCAUCAAUAGGAUUCGUGUUAUGCUGGUGUUAUGCAGUCUGAGGUCUUGGGACUGAGUUCUAACUAGCUUUAAGUUUUUGAGUUAAGUGGUGAGCCGCUUAACUUUGUUUUAAUUGUUAAAUGCUUAAUUAGGAGGUCUAUGUAUAAGGGUUGGAACACCCCUAAAGUGUUUCAUUUAAUUCUAUUAAUUCGUUGCUGAUAAAAAAAAAAAUGUAAUCAGAAUUAUUUAUGCCUCGUUCGGCAUCAGAAUUAUCUCAUAACCAAUAAAAAGGGCCUUAACCUAAAUGAAAGGCCCAUUCUCGUUGAACCAAAGCAACUUCUGUAGACCAGAAAACCUUAAAACCCUUUCCUCGCCUCCACCGCAGGUUUAUUUCUUUACGUUCGGCUGAGUUUAUUUUUGUUGCUGUUCAUUCUCGAUCAGGUAUGUAUCUGAUAACCCUAGACUGAUUGUUGUUUCCAAUUUCUGUUAUCAACACGUGCUAUGGUUUCUAGCUUUAUUGUUAUCUGAUUCGGUUUUUGCUAUGAUUUCCAAUUUUAUUCUAGGAUUUUUUUUGAAAAAUGCUUUCCAGAAUUUUUGAAAGUUAUUUUCCAAAAUACACUUAUAAAUUUUGGAAAGGAGUAUAUGAGAAGAUUUCAAAAUAAGUAUUCCAAUUUUUUAUAAAGCUGGCGUUCUAUAUAUCAUCACCAGGAUUCUGAUUUGUGUUUUGCUGGUGUUCUGCAGACUCAGGUCUUGGGACUGAGUUUUAUCUAGUUUUAAGGUUUUGAGUUAAGUGGUGUGCCCCUUAACUUUGGUUUAAUUGUUGAAUGCUUAAUUAGGAGGUCUAUGUAUAAGGGUUGGAACACCUCUAAAGUGUUUCUUUUAAUUCUAUUAAUUCGUUGCUGAUCAAAAAAAAAAAAAGUAUUCCAAAAAAUCAUUUAAAAAAAGGAGUAAAAUUGUAUUUUUAAAUAUUGAUCGGGGGUGAAGGAAGAAACACCCUCAUUUUUUAUGUAGCAGUUGUAUGAUUCUAACACCGUUCAUAUAUAUAACGUUUUCAUAUAAUCUAUUGCUCUCUCAUUUCUAAAUUAUAAGUAAUUUAUUUAUUUAUUCAUUUUCUUUAUUUGUUGUAAUUUUCAGAUUUCAAGGCAAUUAUGAUUUUUUUUUUCAAUUAUACCUUGUUUUCUUUAAUUAAAUAUAAUUGGAAAAUAGAACACUUAAUCUUCUACAGAGUAGCUAAGAUCGAAAAUAGAUUACGAUUUUAUUUUCUGGAUUGAUUUCAGUUCAAAUCUAUGCCAGAUAAUAAAAAUGUAACAUUUGAAGCCAUGCUUGGAGAGUUGUAAGUAAGUUAUUUGAUCAUUGAAUUGGAGUUAUAUAUGCACUGAAAAAUUAAGGAGGAAAAUUUGUUUUGCUAAAUGUGGUUAGAUAUCAAAUUUGGCGAAGAUGGAGAAAAUUAAAGAUAAUGUGAAAUGAGUGACAGUGAUGGAGUAGUAGUAAUAUAAGGAAGUGAUUAAAAAUAAUAUUAAGAAAAUUGCAUCCUCACGGGUUAUUGGCAACAAGCCAAAAUCUUGGUGGUUAUCACUGCUUUGAAGUGUGUUGUUUUUCUUCUUUGCAGAAAGAGUCGCCGGUAGGGCUAGCUACACAAUCUGCCCAUCCAGGUAUUUUGCUCUGCUUACUGCAGUUUCUUGACAUAUAUAUGAGUUUUUUCAAAUUAUGCUAUAAUAAUUGCUUGUGAAUUCAAAAGAAAACCUUUUGUCCUUCUCUGUGCAAUUUCUUUGUAAUUUCUGUGUUGAUACUAAAAUGCACUGUGGACCGUAACAUUGUUAUAGUUUGUANNNNNNNNNNNNNNNNNNNNNNNNNNNNNNNNNNNNNNNNNNNNNNNNNNNNNNNNNNNNNNNNNNNNNNNNNNNNNNNNNNNNNNNNNNNNNNNNNNNNCUGAAACGGGUUGGCUUGGAUUGUAUGGAUUAAUGGGUUUAUUAUUCUCAUUGAAAAUUGGGGUUGUACCUAGGGCAUUUGACAGUUUGUGUUUUAAUUUUAGAGGAUCUGCUCUGUCAACAACGAUAGAAAAAGGGUUUUUGGCAUUGCAUUCAAUCUGUGUUUCUUUGUGUUUAUUAAAGAAAUGCUAGAGUUUUCUCUGGCAGCCCGUCUUCUAGAGUUUAGUUGUGAAAUUGGGAUCAAGACUUUUCUUGGUUGUUUGGUAAUUGCCUUUUUAGAGGCCGUCUUUGUCAAAUUCUUAGCGAGAUUGGCAUUCUUUGCUGCUUGAUUUUGAUCCUGGUUUUCUUUUGUCCCCUUUUCACCUUUUGGUCUUUUUUCCCUGAAGGAUUUUUGGUCUUUAUAAGGGAAAAAAGUUAAAGGUGGAAAAAAAGUAACACCAUCAGCCUCGUCGUUUUUCCGAAAGUGCCGAGUCAUCAUCUUGAUAUGCAUGUUGGAUGUAACAUUGGAUGAAAGUCAUUGACUGAGAAACAUAUCAUUGUGGCUGUUUGAUUAAGAACUUCUGUAGUGUGGAACUUGGUAGCAUAGGGCUAAUUUACUACAAAAAAUUGUUUUCUAUUUUGAUUUUUGUUUGUUAAUUUUAUUUAAAAAAGCCACCUAGUACUUUGUUUCCUAUUUUCAGCAGUAACAACUUAUUAUUUUCAUUGCUCACUGUAUAAUAUUUUAAAGAUCUGCUUUUUGCACAGUUUGGAUUUUGUCAUUGGCAUAAGGCAUACUAGUCACUCUCAAAUACAUGUGAAAUGUUAUUUAUAAAUUAUAAUUCUCUCCAUUUUCUGUACCUGUUUAUGAUUUUUGUGGUUUUCCCAAAAUGCAGCUCGGUUUUCACCCGAUGAUAAAUAUUCGAGGCAGAGAGUUCUUCUGAAGAAGCGUUUUGGAUUGUUACCAACCCAGCAGGCACCUCUAAAGUACUGACUGAUUUUGAAGCUCCAAUUUUUAAGUGUCUUUUCUGUGCUUGGCCGUGUUUUGUGAACUAGUGUAGUGCCGAUACCUGGUGCCUAGUGAUUGAGCCAUUUAUAUUGUUUUGAACCAAUUACGUCAAAUAUGGCUCACUUAUUACUUACUGUAUUAGAAUGAAGUUUCCAAUGUUGAAAUGCACUAAAGGAUUUUGAGUUCUGUUGCAGUCAAUUUAAUAUUUUUUUUUUGAUCAGCAACGAAUUAAUAAAAUAUCAAUUUAAUAUUGUGAAACAAAUAAUUUGUCUCAACGCAUGGGGUGGUUGCCAGCUUUCAAAACGAGAUAAAAGUGCAGCUAGAUGAAACCAGCUACAUGAAUCAACAAAGAAUGAAUGAAAUUUUUAUCUGUGCAAAUAUGUUUACACGUAUUUUCCUUUUCCCAAUUAAGAAACGUAAGAGAAAGAACUUAGUUAUCAUUAACACAGGUAAUUUGAUGGAGAUAAAUGAAUUAUAAAAACAGAUAUUAAUGUAUGUCAAGGGACUAUAAUACUUGUUCCUGCUAGGGAGGUGGGACCUAGAGAACUGUUGAAGUCUUCUUCUCCUUCCUUCGGUCGGGCAGGUGACUGGGUGAAGAACUGGGGUUCUUCUCGGCACUCGGCACUCGGCACACUCGGCACUCGAACUGGGGUCUUGACUUCUCGGUCGUUCGUCCAAGUCCUAGAAGGUCUCGAUAUCUCUGCCGUUCGGCCAUGUCCCCGAGGGUCUCGACAUCUCUGUCGUUCGGCCAUCUUUCCGAAGGUUUCGACCAUUCGGUCGUUCGGCCUCGCCCAGUACCGGUACUCUAUCCAAAAUAAGUCGAGACCAACAUCGUCAACCACCAGUUUCUGGCCAUGUUACUGCUAAAGGCAAAAAAGAUACCCCAGGUUAAUCACAUAGACGCGAUGAUGUACCCUAGCUUUAAGUUUUUGAGUUAAGUGGGGUGCCGCUUAACUUUGUUUUAACUGCUAAAUGCUUAAGUAGGAGGUCUAUGUAUAAGGGUUGGAACACCCCUAAAGUGUUUCAUUUUAUUCUAUUAAUUCGUUGCUGAUCAAAAAAAAAAAAAAGUGAUGGAUGCUGGAAGGUGUUCUUGAGGAGAGGUUUUUGAGGCUGCAGGACAUUCGGUCGUUCGUCCAAGACUUUUUGGUCGUUCGCCCAAGUCCUCGAAGGUCUCGAUUCGUUCGGCUAAGUCCCGAGGGUCUCCACAUCUGCUGCUGAAGGAACCUCCACUGCUGUUUUUUCUCUCAAAAUAUUACAAUAAUCCCUCUUGACAGUGUUUCAACCUCUGAAGCUCUAGUGCACAUAGUUCAUUUGGAUGGAGCAUACCAUUUGCAUCUGGUGCAAAGGCUAGUGCAGUUUGUGCAGCAUCCUGUGGCAACGAGCUGCUGAUAGUGGUUCUAGUUUUUGAUAAUGGUUGUUUCCAAGGUAGAGGUGCUGGUUUUUGGGAAGAUCUACAUUGUUAUGGUUUCUGCAAUUUAAAAUACACCUGGUGAAGUAAUAGAAGUGGUGUAAGGAAGCAGCCUGUAUAGAAAUUGAAUUGGUGUAUAGAAGGACUAGUGCUAAUGAAGUUGUAGGAAGUAAAACAGAUUUGGGGAAUGAUGGUUUGGUGUGGAUGACGGGUUGGGAUGGUAUGCAGGAGAUAAACCAGCAUAGUAUGAUAUGAUGACUAGGUGUGUUUGUUGGUUUGAUGUGGAAGCUGGUGUUGAAUGCUGGAUGCUGGUUUGUAGGUUAAAGGUGCUCUGAAGUUGUAGGAUGUAAAAAAGAUUUGGGGAAUGAUGGUUUGGUGCGGAAGAUGGUUUGGGAUGGUAUGCAGGAGAUAAACCAGCAUCGUAUGAUAUGAUGACUAGGCGUGCAGGUUUUCUUUAUGGCACUUUUUUUUCAAAAGUGGAUCCAAAAUGCAGGGUGUUGGUCGUUGAUGGAGCCGCAAGGGAUUGCCUGAUUGUUUAUAUCAGUGUAGUGAGGGAUGAGGAUGAAGAAGGGUAUAUGGAGGCUGGUGUACCUAUGGACUCGUGUUUGGCCAAUCUGGUUUUUUGAAGUGUGGCCUUUGCCCAGGUCACGCUGGUUAUAGCUGAACAAUACAACCAGGGAGCUGCUGGCCACCAUAGUGGAGCUAGCUGCUGUAGGAGUCUUUGGUGUUCUCUUUUGCUCAAUCUUUAUAUUACAAUAAUCCCUCUUGUCAGAGUUACAAUCUCUGAAAUUCUGCUUGAGGAAUAUGUUGUAAUGGAGAGUGGAGAGGUGGAUGUUCAGGACUUAGCAGAGAAAGCUGGAUCAAAAUGGUGGUAAAAAGGCUACACUUGAAUGUGUCAAAGUACAUGGUUCAGCAGGAAUAGCUUCUGGAGUGGGAGGCCUUGAUAAAAGACUUUGUUUGAGGUUGGAGCUUUGGAGAAAAAGAACAAGGCUGGAAAGUUUGCGCAGAAGGUCAAAGCGAAGGUCUUGUCAUUCGGUCGUUCGUCCAUGUCCACGAAGGUCUUGACCUUUCGGUCGUUCGUCCAAGUCCUCGAAGGUCUCGACAUCUCUGUCGUUCGGCCAACUCUCCGAAGGUCUCGACAUUUCGGUCGUUCAACACCAGCAUCCAGCAUUCAACACCAGCUUCCACAUCAAACCAACAAUCUCACCUAGUCAUGAUAUCAUACGAUGCUGGUUUAUCUCCUGCAUACCAUCCCAAACCGUCAUCCACACCAAACCAUCAUUCCCCAAAUCUGUUUUACUUCCUACAACUUCAAAAGCACUAGUCCUUCUAUAUACCAAUUCAAUUUCUAUACAAGCUGCUUCCUUACACCACUUCUAUUACUUCACCAGGUGUAUUUAAAAUGCAGAAACCAUAACUAUGUAGAUCUUCCCAAAAACCAGUACCUCUACCUUGGAAACAACCAUUAUCAAAAACUAGUAACACUAACAGCAGCUCAUUGCCACAGGAUGCUGCACCAACUGCACUAGCCUUUGCACCAGAUGCAGAUGGUAUACUCCAUCCAAAUGAACUUUGUGCACCCAGCAUUAGACCCCUAGCUUCCAGACAUCCACUUCCACACCGUUUGAAUAGUUGAAAGAUUGCACGCCAUGUUUCACCCAUAACCACAUUUUAAGUGGUGCCUACUCUCCAAACCUCAUUCUUCCAAGUUGUUCUGUUGCCUCAAGUUCCUACUGCAACCCCAUUCUUUUUCUAUGGUUACAUCAGAUUGCCUUUCCCUAUCCAUCAUGCACUCAUCAACAUAUAAAACAUGCAGGCCUACCAAAUCCUACCUCACAGCCUCACAACACUCAACAGAACAAAACACAUAAAACAUUACAACUUCCUACUAUAAGGAACAGUGAUACUGGAGCAGAAUCCUGCAUAAAACCCCAUAAAUCAACAAUUUGGUAUUGCAAAAAGACAGAUGCAGAGGAUAUACAGUGCUUCCAUGUGCCAGAAACGCAAAAAACUCCCUCCUUCCUUCAAAUACAAGCCUCAUGACUACUCUUGAUGUUACCUCCUCUGCAUUUGACUCUAUUCCUGCAGCAUCUAGAGCCUCUCCUCAGGAACACCUACCAGCAUCCAUCACUUAAAGCUUCUGAUGCAGAUAAGGGGGUUUAGGAUCCAAUCAGCCAGGGAAUAGCAGCAGCGGUGACCUCUAUGCUUUAGCCAUUGCCAUGAUUUGAGUUGAGCCAUCGAAAAAGUCUCUUCCGCAUCAACAACACCUUGUUUGAAUACAGCUGAGUUCCUAUGCUCCCAAAUGCUCCUUACAACACACGCCCAAACUCCUUUCCACAAGAGGUUUUGUUGGCUACUCAGAUGAGGCAAGGAGAAAUUUUCGAAGUGCAUCAUAGGAACAUUAUGCUGCACAAAAGAGAUGCCAAUCCAAUUAAAACAUAACCUCCACACUUUCUGGGCGAAGGUGCAUUCUAGGAAGAUGUGAUGGCAGGAUUCCUCCUUUGCUUGACAAAGCUCACAUAGAGUUGUGUUAAGCAACACUCCUCUCCUCCUCAAGUCGACUCUAGUUGGGAUUCUACCUAGGAGGACUCUCCAAGCAGUUGUAAUACUAUUGGGGAAAGCUUUGAUUCUCCACAGAUGCUCGAACACUUCGUGGCGCGGACUGCUGUCCUGUUUUGCUAAGCAUUCAUAAGCAGACUGGACAGAAAAGGACCCCGAGCCAUCACACCCCCACGUCUGAACGUCUUGGUGACCCCUCAACGGGCUUACUCGGGAUAGGAGUUGGACAAGGUUUGCUUCCAACGGGGAUUCCCAUUCAAACCUAUCCCUUCUCCACCUUAAAUCCCACCUCCAAACAGCGCUUACCCACUCCCCAACCUCACUCACCAUCAGGCCCUGGUCCAAAGAUAAGGAGAACUACCUAGGGUAGAGGGUUUUGAGGUUGAUAUUGCCAAUCCACACAUCCUCCCAGAAGUUCACUUUUUCUCCUCCUCCUAUCUUCCAUACAAGUUGAUUUUUGAACCACCCUCCUCCUUCUCCCUCUGUGCAUACUUUUUUCAAAUCUCUCCACCACCAUGAUUGGAAUUUCACUGGGCCAAGCGGACAAUCCAGAUUCAUCCCAUACUUUGAGACCAAUAGGUCUUUCCACCUCCCCUUUUCUUCCGAUACCAUCCGCCAUCUCCACUUGGCUAGGAGGGCGUAAUUAAACUUCCGAAUAUCUCUGAUCCCCAAUCCUCCCUCCUCCUUCGGUUUGCACACAUUUUCCCAGCUAACCCAGGUUAUCGACCUCUUCUCCUUUCCCCAUCCCCACAAAAACCUUCGCUGAAUGCUGAUAAUGCUUUUAUAUACAGAUUCCGGUGCUUUGAAGAUAGAGAGAUAGAAAAGCGGGAUCGCUGAGAUAACCGAUUUGAUUAGGCAUAUUCUCCCUGCCAAUGACAAAAAUCUUCCUUUCCAGACAUUGAGUCUAGCUUUAAGCUUGGUUAACACCGGUUCCCAGAACUUCACCUUCCUUGGGUUCCCUCCCACUUCUAAUCCAAGGUAAUUAAACGGGACUCCCAUCUGGGCACAACUCAGGGUCUUUGCAUAGCUUGACAGAGCAAAGUUAUCCACAUUCACACCUGCAAUCUUAGACUUAUGGAAAUUUAUCUUUAAGCCUGAUGCUAGUUCAAACCCCCUUAGGAUCGCCUUCACGGCAACAACAUUGCUAUGCGACGCUUCGCAAAGAAAGAGGGUGUCGUCUGCGAAUUGCAUGAUACUAAUCUCCCCCUCUCCUCUACCAAACUUAACACCCGAAAGCAGAUUGGCCUUGUUCGCUUGCCUAACUAGCCCAGCUAGGCCUUCAGCUACCACAAUGAAGAGGAACGGGGCUAGCGGAUCGCCUUGCCUCAAGCCUCUAGAAGGUUUGAAUUCCUCCGUAGGACUCCCGUUAACUAAAACGGACACUGAGGCCGAUUCCAUGCAGUGUAGUGAGGAUUGAGGAUGAAGAAGGGUAUAUGGAGGCUGGUGUACCUAUGGACUCGUGUUUGGUCAAUCUGGUUUUUUGAAGUGUGGCCUUUGCCCAGGUCACGCUGGUUAUAGCUGAAUAAUACAACCGGGGAGCUGCUGGCCACCAUAGUGGAGUUAGCUGCUGUAGGAGUCUUUGGAGUUCUCUUUAGCUCAAUCUUUAUUUUACAAUAAUCCCUCUUGUCAGAGUUACAAUCUCUGGAACUCUGCUUGAGGAAUCUGUUGUAAUGGAGAGUGGAGAGGUGGAUGUUCAGGACUUAGUAGAGAAAGCUGGAUCAAAAUGGUGGUAAAAAAUGGUGGAAAAAGGCUACACUUGAAUGUGUCACAGGAAUAGCCUCUGGAGGUGAGCUUGGGGUUCUACAAAUCUUCUCUAGGUCUCGUUUAUGCUGGUGUUAUGCAGUCUCAGGUAUUGGGACUGAGUGAAAAAGAAGAAGGCUGGAAAGUUUGCGCAAAAGGUCAAAGGGAAGGUCUUGACGUUCGGUCGUCCGUCCAAGUCCACGAAGGUCUUGACCUUCGGUCGUUCGUCCAAGACCUCGAAGGUCUUGCCACCUCUGUCGUUCGGCCACGUCCCCGAGGGUCUCGACGCCUCUGUCGUUCGGUCAACUCUCCGAAGGUUUCGACCAUCGGUCGGUCGGCCUUGCCCAGUUCUGGUACUCUAUCCUUUUGUAAGUCGAGACCAACAUCGCCAACCACCAGUUUCUGGCCAUGAUGCUGCAAAAACACAAUGCUGUACCCUAGCUUUAAGUUUUUGAGUUAAGUGGGGAGCCGCUUAACUUUGUUUUAAUUGCUAAAUGCUUAAUUAGGAGGGCUAUGUAUAAGGGUUGGAACACCCCUAAAGUGUUUCAUUUAAUUUUAUUAAUUCGUUGCUGAUCAAAAAAAAAUCCACAUCACCCACUUGCAGUGGAAACCCAUUUUGUAGAGCAUAUCGUACAUAAACUCCCACCGCACCGAGUCAUAUGCUUUUUCAAAAUCCACCUUCAAGCAGAGACCACUCCUCUCACGCCUUCUAAGAUCCUCUACCACCUCAUUGGCCAUGAGAACACUGUCUAGAAUCCCUCUCCCCUUUAGGAAAGCAGAUUGACUUUCAUCAAUAACGGAGUUCAACACUUUCUUUAUUCUUUCAGCCAACACCUUUGCUAUAACUUUGUAUAGAGCCCCCACUAGUGAGAUGGGACGAUAUUGCUCCAGCGAGAAGGGGUCCUUCACCUUUGGAACCAAGGCUAUGAAGGAUGCAUUACAUCCCUUAGGAAUAGACCCUGUAUCAUGGAACACAGCCAAGGCCUUAACAAACUCGUCUUUUAUAAACUCCCAACUUUUCCUGAUAAAAUUAAAGUUGAAUCCAUCAGGUCCUGGACUCUUUGAUCCUUCACAAUUCCACACCGCUUCCUUGAUCUCAUCUUCCUUAAAGCCAGAGAUAAGAAACAGGUUGUCUUCUGGGGAUAUAGAUUUGAACUCCACUUCAUCAAGUCUUACCCCAAAAUCCCUUGUUGCUGUAAACCUAUUCUCAAACAACUUCUUGGCCUCUGCUCGCACCGUAGAAGGCUCCUCACACCACUGACCCCCAACCUCCACUCCUUUUACUUCGUUUCUAAGCCUUCUCCAUCUCAAGGAGGAGUGAAAAAAUUUAGUACACGAGUCGCCGUACUUGAACCAACAAGCUCUUGCUUUCUGACUAAUGAGGGAGUCUAUCUUUCUGUCAACCUCCCCUAGCUGGUUCAGUAACUCCAGUCUCUCCACCCUCCCACUAACCACCGAACCUCCAUCCUUAUCUUGGUUGUCACAGACCUCAAUUUCGCGCAGGAUACCAUUCUUAAUGGUAUAAAGAUUACCGUACACAUCUCUAUUCCAGAUUUUCAAGUCCCCUUUGAGCAGCUUCAGCUUAACCUUAAGGUUCAAAAUGGCAUUCCCUUGGGCUGGAUAAGAUUGCCACUUUCCCUUCACCAUCCCGUUGAAACCUCUAUCCAUAUGCCAGGCAUCGAUAUUUCGAAAGGGCUUGGGACCCCAGUCCUUAUCCAAGGUCUUCACCACCAGAGCACAGUGAUCAGACACUUCCCUCUGUUGGACAUAUUGUUUACAGUUUGGCCAUAAGCUCAACCACUCCUCAGAGACAAGGAUUCUAUCAAGCCUGCUCUUAGCCGACCCAUUUGCUCUAAACCACGUGUAAGCUUUCCCUACAAUAGGGAGAUCCAGAAGCAUAUUAGAUUCAAUAAAACAAUUAAAACCAUAUAUCUCGCUCGUUUGGCCACUUGCCGUUGCACCCCGACUGCUAGCACCUUUCCUUUCCCGUCUACUUCUUACAGCAUUAAAGUCACCACAGAGACACCAAACCAACUCCUGUGACCCUCCUUUGAUUCCAGUUAUCUCCUCCCAGAGAAUCUUCUUUUCUCUUAGACUACAGGCUGAGUAAAUAUUAACAAUAACACACUUACGUGUAGACCGCAGGUGUUGGCCAAAGAUAACUAUGAAUCCCUUCCCCAUCACAUGACUCUCAUAGCAGAACAUAUCUUUGUGCCACAUGGACAGCAAGCUUCCACCUCCAUUUUCACCUUCAUAGUGAAUCCACCCGACUCUAUUGUCCCCCCACAAAGCAAAACAUCUAGCAUCGGUGAACCCCUUCAAUUUCGUUUCUUGAAUGCAAACAAACUCUGCUCCUUCUCUUGAGAUCAAAUUUUUAAGAUAUCUGCUUUUUGUUCCUCCCCCCAAACCUCGGAUGUUCAAGCUAACUAUCAGCAUAGGAGACCUUUUGUUACCCCCUCUUCUAGCUUCUGUGCAAACUCUACAUCUCUCGUUUCCAUACUCUGAUAUUCCUUCACAACCUCUUCUUCGAUCCUACGACAUACAAUUCCCAUCUGUUUGCCCAUCUCCCACAACUUUAGUGGUUUCUCCGUUACGUCCAGGUCCCGGAACCUUGAGUUACAAAUGAUUGUAUCCCCAUCAGAGAUAGUUGCAGAAAGAGUUCCAGCUUUUGAGGCAGAGUCCCUUACCUGGGAGGGCCAUACUCUUAUUGACCUCCGUGGAAGGGUGCUUGGUUCCGCCAUUUCCCCCAGCCCCUUCAUUCGCAGUCUACCCCUAGGGGAUUGGUUCCUGAUUCCACUUCCCCCUUUGCUGACCUCAUGGCCACGUAUUUCCAGGACUUCCCUUGGCUCCAGCUCCCGACCGACCGAAGCUCCCUCAUGGAUAUGCUGAUUUGUUCGGCCGAACGACCGAACGACCGACACUCCCCCCUCAAUGUUCGGCCCGUCGUCCUUACUCAGGAGCACUCCAUCUCCUACUUCCUCUUGGACUAGCGAAUGGGAUAACCCAUUGCCAAAAAGGGCCGACCGGUUUCCUUCGUGGCCCAAGAAGACAGAGGGUUCGCGCUGAGUGCAACUUAACUCCUCAUCCACAACUAACUUGGCCACGUCAGCCCGAGGGUUGGUACUAUAGUGCAAAGCUGUGGGCCCGUUGCUACAGGUUUUCAGGAUCGCCGCUUCGUCAGAGGCUAUCUGAUUUACUGUUUCCACAUUGGUGAAACUCUUAGCACUGACCCUCUGACAGACUAGACCCUUAGAGGUUGCUUCCCCACGAACCAAGCCUUUUGUCGUAUUCUCUUGACCCUCACCGUCACCUACCACCUCCCUUCCGACUUGGACUUCUUCACCGUUAACUUCACCACCGAUCACCUCCCCCCUAGGCCACUGCCUUAUCCGACCCCGAACUUUUCCUUCCUCUUCACAACUAUUCACAGAGGCAGUAUCCUCUACAUAGGUUUCCGACGAGGAAACACUAUCCGAGGAGCCACCAUCAUCAUAGAUGCACCUGCAUGAACCUCUAUUCCCACAUAUAACUUCUUCUUCUAUACGGAUACUAUAAAGAUUAUUGUUGAUCUUCAUGUCUGCCGCCAUCCCUACACUCUGGCUCUUUGGCAUCCUGACUUGAAGAACAGCAUACUCCAAGUUCUCCCAUAGGAGAGUGGCUUUGCCGAUAGACACUAUAGUUGCCUUAUCUCCCACCACUUUAGAGAAGCACUCCUUGUUCCAGAGAGAAAGGGGUAGUCCAUAGCACCUUACCCAGACGACUUUGUGGCUCGCUAUGCACUUUUCCGACCAUGGUUCAAAGCUUGUGAAAACACUCUCAAACCACUCCUUAUUAAGCUUAAUAAGAGCCUGCAUACUCUCCCCUUCCCUUGGCAUAAGCAGAACUAGAUUGUCUCCUAAGGAAUGCAAAAAAACCGUGCUCAACCCUCCUUUCAGGAACUCUUCGCGUAACUGAUCAAGAUCUAGUUCUGCACGCAGCUGACCAAUGACACUUGCCUCCAUCCACGGUAGGAUCUGUUUUUGGACUGAGAACGUUGGUCCCUUCCACACCUGACGAGGACCUCCCCUUACUAUAUCAGCAUAUGACUCUUCCCCUUUCUUUUUCACCCAUACCUCCUUCUUCCUCUCCCUCCGUGUUUCCGCCAGGCCUUCCCCUCCCCUCCUCCUUGACUCAGAAUGAGGCACCCCCGGGGGAAACUUGUAGACCCUAGACUCGGGUACAAGCCUCCUGUACCUCGGGAUAUUGACAUGGAGCUUCACAUUGCCAAUGAAAAUUUGGUCAAGCUCCUUCUCUAAUCUUGUCGCAUUUCCCACUUCGAAGAAACGAACAAAACCAAAUCGUCUCCCCCACUUGUUCAGCCUUCGAGCAAUGAAAACUUCUUUCACUCUAGCCCAUUUCUGGAAGAUCUUGUGCAUGUCCAGUUCACCAUACCCGUUCGGAAAGUUGGAGAAGAAGAAUGUUGUGGCGUCGCCUGUGCUAUACGCAGAAAUACCUGUCUUCUCUUUUACACCAUGACCACCUUGACCAUUGUGACCACCAUAACCACCAUGAGAAGGGCGAGUUUCUCUCCCUCUCCUUUCUCUCUCUCUCCCUCUCCUUUCUCUCUCCUUUCUCCCUCUCCUUUCUCUCUCCAUUAAAAUUGAACGAGGCAUAAAUAAUUCUGAUUACCUUUUUUUUGAUCAGCAACGAAUUAAUAGAAUUAAAUGAAACACUUUAGGGGUGUUCCAACCCUUAUACAAAGACCUCCUAAUUAAGCAUCUAGCAAUUAAAACAAAGUUAAGCGGCUCACCACUUAACUCAAAAACUUAAAGCUAGGGUACAUCAUUGCGUUUAAGUAAUAAGAUAAUUCUGAUGCCGAACGAGGCAUAAAUAAUUCUGAUUACAUUAAAGUAAUAAGAUAGUUCUGAUGCCGGACGAGGCAUAAAUAAUUCUGAUGCCGAACGAGGCAUAAAUAAUUUUGAUUUCUGACCAAGGUUGGUGAAUAACGUUGAAGUUAUAAUUCGUUAUAUAUUCUGGCCGAACGAACGGUUAAUGAAUUAAUAGAUAAUUCGGAUGCCGGACGAGGCAUAAAUAAUUCGGAUUACCUUAAAGUAAUAAGAUAAUUCUGAUGCCGAACGAGGCAUAAAUAAUUCUGAUUACGUUAAAGUAAUAAGAUAAUUCUGAUGCCGUAGGAGGCGUAAAUAAAUCUGAUUACCUUAAAGUAAUAAGAUAAUUCUGAUGCCGAACGAGGCAUAAAUAAUUCUGAUUACAUUAAAGUAAUAAGAUAGUUCUGAUGCCGGACGAGGCAUAAAUAAUUCUGAAUAAUUCUGAUGCCGAACGAGGCAUAAAUAAUUUCGAUUUCUGACCAAGGUUGGUGAAUAACGUUGAAGUUAUAAUUCGUUAUAUAUUCUGGCCGACCGAACGGUUAAUGAAUUAAUAGAUAAUUCGGAUGCCGGACGAGGCAUAAAUAAUUCGGAUUACCUUUUUUUUUUUUGAUCAGCAACGAAUUAAUAGAAUAAAAUGAAACACUUUAGGGGUGUUCCAACCCUUAUACAUAGACCUCCUAAUUAAGCAUUUAGCAGUUACAACAAAGUUAAGCGGCUCCCCACUUAACUCAAAAACUUAAAGCUAGGGUACAUCAUCGCGUCUAUGUGAUAACCUGGGGUAACUUUUUCCUUAAGCAGUAACAUGGCCAUAAACUGGUAGUAGACGAUGUUGGUCUCGACUUAUAUAGGAUAGAGAACCGGUACUGGGCGAGGCCGAACGACCGAAUGAUUAGCCUCAAUACCCCGAUGUGUGAGCAUGAAGCCUAAGAACUUCCCACCUUCGACGCCGAACGCGCACUUUUCCGGAUUUAAACGCAUGCGGUAUUGACGCAAGGCUUGAAAAACCUCUUUUAGGUCAGAAACAUGUUGCUCGCAAGAGUCUGAUUUGACGACGAUGUCGUCAACGUAUACUUCCACAUUCCGACCGAUCAUGUCGUGGAACACGUGGUCCAUGAGUCGCUGGUAUGUGGCUCCUGCAUUCUUGAGACCGAACGGCAUGACUUCAUAGAAGAAAUUAUCAGAGUCCGUUCUAAACGCGGUUUUUUCCCGGUCACGGUGGUACAUUUGUAUUUGAUUGUAACCCGAAUAAGCAUCAAGGAAACUUAGGAUUUGAUGACCGGCUGCACCGUCGACCAGUCGGUCGAUAGUAGGCAGGGGAUACGAGUCUUUUGGGCACGCCUUGUUAAGGUCUGUGUAGUCUACGCACAUUCUCCAUUUUCCAUUCGCCUUUUUUACCAUCACUACAUUGGCUAGCCAUGUCGUAUAGUGGGCCUUUUGAAUGAAACCAGCUUGAAUUAACUUUCUGUUUCUUCUCGUGCGGCUUUGCGCCGUUCUUCACCUAGUUUCCUUUUCUUUUGAGUGAUCGGCCUGGCCUCUGUAUACACAGAUAAUCGAUGGGUAAUCACAUCUGAUUUUACCCCUGGCAUGUCUGCAGCCGUCCAAGCGAAAAGAUCAGCGUUCUUUAUUAAUGUUUUUCCGACCGCCUCUCGGUCGUCCGGAUUGAGAGAUGUUCCCAUGUAUGUUUUUCGGUCUUUGUCUUGGAGGAAUAUGGGUUGAAGAUCUUCCCCUGCUUCCAUCCGGGGAUCAUCCAGUCGAGGGUCUAGAUCGACUAAGGCGACCAAGUGUCUUCUAGUUUUAAUAUUUUUCUCCCUCAAUAGAAAAUUUGGUCAACACACUCGUUUAACUCAUAUCAUAGUAAUCAUCACUAUGUUGAAACUCUUGAGUUGUAAUUGUAAGGGUGAGACAACCUUCUACAACAUAGAGUGGAAUUGCAUAAAACUAAGGAUCAUACUUUAAUAAUUCAACUGGUUUUAAGAGAAGGAUUGUCUUUUCUCAGUCGGUAUCUUUUUCACAUAACGUUUUUGUACUCUUCUUUAACUCCUUUACUUUUCGACUUCUUGAGCUCCAAACUCGGAUAAUAUCUGUAAAAACAUUCUGACGUUCAAGUCAGAUUUCCAAUAUUUGAUACUCGGUGCUAUUAGUCCUGAAAGAUGACUACCUUAUUUUCAAAAUCUGUGCAUAUUUAUAUAAUUAUCAUGAGUUUUUUGUUAUUGGGUUCGCAAGUGAUAGAUUUUAGAAAUACCUUAUGCAUGCAUCUUAUACAUAUUAUCUAUUUGAUGUUUAUAUUUGUUCACAUGUUUGUUCAUAUGGCUCACCUCCCCGGGCUUUUUAGCAGAACUCUAGUACUAUUUCAGCCUCUGGUGGAGCUAAGCUGUUAACAAGAAUGUUAGUGAGUACGUCGCUCCCAUACAGGGGUCUUCCUUUGUGCCUGAGAUUGCAGACAAUACUAUGAUGAUGCUAGUGUGAUCCAAUAAUUUUCCAAACAUAAACUGUUUGGAGUGCCAAUGAUCCGUGACCAACUCCAUUCUUUCUCCUCUCCAACUUCUAAUUCUGCUAACUGCCAUAAGUCAUGAUGUUACCAAAACACAAUUNNNNNNNNNNNNNNNNNNNNNNNNNNNNNNNNNNNNNNNNNNNNNNNNNNNNNNNNNNNNNNNNNNNNNNNNNNNNNNNNNNNNNNNNNNNNNNNNNNNNCUUUGCUUGUGAGAGAGUUUUAAAUGGCAGGUUUGAAAAGGGUAUUGCAAAUGCCAAAAGGGGUAGAAUUCAAGCACUAUGGUCGAAACCUACGGAAAGAUGGCCGAACGACCGAGAUGUCAAGACCCUCGGGGACAUGGCCGAACGACAGGAAUGACGAGACCUUCUAGGACUUGGGCAAACGACCGAGAGGUUAAGACCUUCCCGUACGACCGAAGGUCAAGACCUACGCUUUGACCUUCUGCGCAAACUUCCAGCCUUCUUCUUUUACUCCAAAGCUCGAACCUCCAGCAAAGUCUUUUAUGCAGUCCCAAUACCUGAGACUGCAUAACACCAGCAUGACACAAGUCCUAGAGAUGAUUUGUAGAACCCCAAGCACACCUCCAGAAGCUAUUCCUACUGCAACCCCAUUCUAUUACUGAAGUUACAUCAGAUUGCCUUUCCCUAACCAUCAUGCACUCAUCAACAUAUAAGACAUGCAGGCCUCCCAUUUCCUACCUCGCAACCUCACAACAACUGAUUUAAACAAUCAGGCUGUCCCUUACAGCUCCAUCAACGACCAACACCCUGCAUUUUGAAUCCACAUUUGAAAAAAAGCCAAAAAGAGAACCUGCACGCCUGCAUUGUCUUAAGCUUUGUUUGUAAAAAGAAGCUUUUGGCUUAGAGCACCUUUAACCUACAAACCAGCAGUCAGCAUUCAACACCAGCUUCCUCAUCAGACCAACAUACUCACCUAGUCAACAAAACAAACGAUGCUGUUUUAUCUCCUGCAUACCAUCCCAAACCAUGUUCCACACCAAACCAUCAUUCCCCAAAUCUGUUUUACUUCCUACAACUUCAGAGCACCUUUAACCUACAAACCAGCAUCCAGCUUUCAACACCAGCUUCCACAUCAAUCCAACAAUCACACCUAGUCAUCAAAUCAUGCGAUGCUGGUUUAACUCCUGCAUACCAAACAACCAUUAGCAGAAACUAGAACCACUAUCAGCAGCUCGUUGCCACAGGAUGCUGCACAAACUGCACUAGCCUUUGCACCAGAUGCAAAUGGUACUCUCCAUCCAAAUGAACUAUGUGCACACGAGAUUCGGAGGAUGAAACACUGUCAAGAGUGAUUAUAAUAAUAUUUUGAGAGAGAAAACAGCAGUGGAGAUUCCUUCAACAGCAGAGAUGGAGACCCUCGGGACUUAGGCGAACGAAUCGAGACCUUCGAAGACUUGGGCAAAUGACCAAAAAGUCUUGGACGGACGACCGAAAGUCCUGCAGCCUCAAAACCUCUCCUCAAGAACACCUUCCAGCAUCCAUCACUUAAAGCUUCUGAUACAGAUAAGGGGAUUUAGAAUCCAAUCAGCCAGAGAAUNNNNNNNNNNNNNNNNNNNNNNNNNNNNNNNNNNNNNNNNNNNNNNNNNNNNNNNNNNNNNNNNNNNNNNNNNNNNNNNNNNNNNNNNNNNNNNNNNNNNUGCUUUAGCCAUUGCCAUGAUUUGAGUUGGGCCAUCGAAAAAGUCUCUUCCGCAUCAACAACACCUUGUUUGAAAACAACCGAAUUCCUAUGCUCCCAAAUGCUCCUAACGACACACGCCCAAACUCCUUUCCACAAGAGAUUUUGUUGGCUACUCAGAUGAGGCAAGGAGAAGUUCUCAAAGUGCAUCGUAAGAACAUUGUGCUGCACAAAAGAGAUGCCAAUCCAUAUAAAACAAGACCUCCACACUUUCUGGGCGAAGGGGCAUUCUAAGAAGAUGUGUUGGCAGGAUUCCUCCUUUGUUUGACAAAGCUCACAUAAGGUUGUGUUAAGCAACACUCCUCUCCUCCUCAAAUCAACUCUNNNNNNNNNNNNNNNNNNNNNNNNNNNNNNNNNNNNNNNNNNNNNNNNNNNNNNNNNNNNNNNNNNNNNNNNNNNNNNNNNNNNNNNNNNNNNNNNNNNNGUGGCGCGGACUACUAUCCUGUUUAGCUAAGCAUUCAUAUGCAGAAUGGACAGAGAAGAACCCCGAGCCAUCACACCCCCACGUCUGAACAUCUUUGUGACCCCUGGACGGACUUACACGGGUUAGUAAUUGGACAAGGUUUGCUUCCAACGGUGAUUCCCAUUCAUACCUAGCCCUUCUCCACCUUAGGUCCCACCUCCAAACAUCACUGUCCCACUCCCCAACCUCACUCACCAUUAGGCCCUGGUCCAAGGAUAAGGAGAACAACCUUGGGUAGAGGGUUUUGAGAUUGAUAUUACCAAUCCACACAUCCUCCCAGAAGUUCACUUUUUCACCGCCUCCUACCUUCCAUACAAGUUGAUUUUUGANNNNNNNNNNNNNNNNNNNNNNNNNNNNNNNNNNNNNNNNNNNNNNNNNNNNNNNNNNNNNNNNNNNNNNNNNNNNNNNNNNNNNNNNNNNNNNNNNNNNNNNNNNNNNNNNNNNNNNNNNNNNNCACCGCCCCUCUUCUUCCGAUACCAUCCGCCAUCUCCACUUGGCUAGGAGAGCAUAAUUAAACUUCCGAAUAUCUCUGAUCCCCAGACCACCCUCCUCCUUCGGUUUAAAGUAAUAAGAUAAUUCUGAUGUCGAACGAGGCAUAAAUAAUUCUGAUUACGUUAAAGUAAUAAGAUAAUUCUGAUGCCGAACGAGGCAUAAAUAAUUUCGAUUUCUGACCAAGGUUGGUGAAUAACGUUGAAGUUAUAAUUCGUUAUAUAUUCUGGCCGAACGAACGGAAAUAAUUCGGAUUACCUUAAAGUAAUAAGAUAAUUCUGAUGCCGAACGAGGCAUAAAUAAUUCUGAUUACGUUAAAGUAAUAAGAUAAUUCUGAUGCCGAACGAGGCAUAAAUAAUUUCGAUUUCUGACCAAGGUUGGUGAAUAACGUUGAAGUUAUAAUUCGUUAUAUAUUCUGGCCGAACGAACGGUUAAUGAAUUAAUUAACUUCUGACCAAGGUAGGUAAUUUAAAGUGCCUCGUUAAAAGCUUCUCGGUAGAAAACCCUCCUUAGGGAUAAAACUACCGAGCGAGGAAAGAGUGCACUGAGUUUAUUCAUCAACUGUAGUAGAAUUUGAGAUGCGUGGCAUUCCAUGUUCUCGGUAUAGAUUUUCCUGACAAAUAUUCUAAGUAAUAAGCUCCUCCUGUUGCUGUGUCGGAGAUUCGGAACGGUCCUUCCCAGUUGCUUGAAAACUUUCCUCCGUCCUUCCGAGCGUUGCUGCGCAUGCGCCAAACUAGAUCUCCUUUCUGAUAGUUUCGUGGCUUCACUUUCGAGUUGUACCUUCGUGCUGCUCGUAUCUUGCAUGCUUCUUCCCUUAUCUUGCAUUUGUCCCUCAAUUCAUUGAUGAGGUCGAGGCCGACUAGUAGACUUUCCUUGUUUAAGUCUAGGUCUAAUGUCUGUCGGCGUAGUGAAGGCUCGCCGAUCUCGACCGGAAUCAUGGCUUCUGUGCCGUACGUCAGGCUGUAAGGUGUUUCCUGAGUCGUUGAUUGGGGAGUACAACGAUAAGCCCACAGAACCUCCAACAAUUCUUCCGUCCAGUUUCCCUUAGAGGGGCCAAGUCUCUUCUUUAACUCAUUGAGAAUAACUUUGUUGGCCGCUUCUGCCUGCCCGUUGGUUUGAGGGUGUUCGACCGAACUCGUUAUGUGUUUGAUGUGAAGUUUCUCAUAGAAUUCAGCUAGCCCACGGUCGGUGAACUGCCGGCCGUUGUCUGUGAUAAUUAUCUGGGGUAGGCCGAACCUGCAGACAAUGUUUUUCCACACAAAGCUUUGGACGUUCCGGGCGGUGAUGGCCGUUAGCGGUUCAGCCUCAAUCCAUUUAGUAAAGUAAUCUAUGCCAACCAACAAGAACUUGCAUUGUCCCUUUCCAGGUGUGAAAGGUCCGAUAAUAUCCAUGCCCCACUUCACAAAUGGCCAAGGGGAUAGGAUAUAGUGUAGGUGUUCUGGCUUUUGGUGCGAUAGGGUGCCGAACUCCUGACACUUUAUACAUCUUUGAACGUAUUCGGUGCAGUCCCCUUGUACGGUCGGCCAGUAGUAUCCGGCUCUGAAAAUUUUAGCGGACAUAGUUCGUGCCCCUGAAUGGGUUUCGCAUAUCCCCUCGUGCAACUCGGUCAUUACAUAUGUGACCUGUUCUGGACUAAGGCAUUUUAGGAGGGGACGGGAGUACCCUCUCCUGUAGAGGUCUUGGCCAACGAGUAUGUAUCGGGCGGCUUGUAGUUUCAUUGUCCUCUCUAAGUGUGGAUCGCAUGCUCCGUCGGUCAGAUAUUGUUUUAUGGGAGUCAUCCAAUUUGGUUGAGUGUCGGUCGUCAUACAUUCUUCGGUACCAACACUUGGUUUAGAGAGGGUCACAUGUAUGCCCGACCGGUGGACACCUUUAUUUUUUAAGGUAGCCAAUCUUGAUAGAGCGUCCGCCCUAGUGUUAUUUUCCCUUCGUACGUGUUGGAAUGAGAUUUCUUCGAACCUGUUUAGAAGAUUUUGCACAAAAUGAAAAUACUGCUGGAGUAAGGUUUCUCUUACCUCAUAUUCUCCUGUUAUUUGCCCAAUGACUAGACGGGAGUCGCUCUUACAAAUUAUAUUUGUUAUCUCCAACUCAAUCGCCAGAUGUAGACCUGCGAUUAUAGCUUCGUAUUCGGCCUGAUUAUUGAAAGUUUUGAAUUCAAACUUCAUGGCUUGUUCGACAACAAUUUCCCCUGGUCCUUCAAGUACAACUCCUGCUCCGGACGAACGACUGUUUGAUGAUCCAUCUACGUAUAGUGUCCAUCGGGGAGUUCGUUCGGUCGGAUAGGGAGUGAGUUCCGCUGUGAAGUCGGCGAGGGCUUGGGACUUGAUGGCCCCCCUGGGUUGGUAUUCGAUGUGGAAUUCUGACAGCUCGACUGCCCAACCUAUCAUUCGUCCGGCGAGGUCAGGCUUGGUGAGAAUCUUCAUAAUGGGAUAGUUAGUCUUAACAAUAACCUUGUGAUUUUGGAAGUACAUCCGCAUCCGUCGUGCGGUAAUGACUAGAGCUAAGGCAACUUUUUCGACCAUUUGGUACAGGGUCUCCGCGUCGUGCAAGACUCGGCUGACGAAAUAUACCGGUCGCUCUUCCGCUCCGAUUUCUUGUACUACAACGGAACUCACUGCUUCAUUGGAGACAGCGAGGUAAACCACAAUGGGCUCUCGUACGUUCGGUUUCUGGAUGACCGGUGGGGAAGCCAGGAAUGUUUUCAGCUGUUGGAAAUUUUGUUCGCAUUCAUCCGUCCAUUCAAACUUAGUCGUUUUCUUCAAAAGCUUUAUAAUGGGUCUUGUUCGUUCGGCAAGCUUUGGUACGAACCGAGAUAACGACGUGAGACGGCCGACUAGUCUCUGGAUCUCUUUGAGUCCGCUGGGACUUCGCAUUUCGGUGAUUGCCUUGCAUUUUUCUGGAUUAGCCUCAAUACCCCGAUGUGUGAGCAUGAAGCCUAAGAACUUCCCACCUUCGACGCCGAACGCGCACUUUUCCGGAUUUAAACGCAUGCGGUAUUGACGCAAGGCUUGAAAAACCUCUUUUAGGUCAGAAACAUGUUGCUCGCAAGAGUCUGAUUUGACGACGAUGUCGUCAACGUAUACUUCCACAUUCCGACCGAUCAUGUCGUGGAACACGUGGUCCAUGAGUCGCUGGUAUGUGGCUCCUGCAUUCUUGAGACCGAACGGCAUGACUUCAUAGAAGAAAUUAUCAGAGUCCGUUCUAAACGCGGUUUUUUCCCGGUCACGGUGGUACAUUUGUAUUUGAUUGUAACCCGAAUAAGCAUCAAGGAAACUUAGGAUUUGAUGACCGGCUGCACCGUCGACCAGUCGGUCGAUAGUAGGCAGGGGAUACGAGUCUUUUGGGCACGCCUUGUUAAGGUCUGUGUAGUCUACGCACAUUCUCCAUUUUCCAUUCGCCUUUUUUACCAUCACUACAUUGGCUAGCCAUGUCGUAUAGUGGGCCUUUUGAAUGAAACCAGCUUGAAUUAACUUUCUGUUUCUUCUCGUGCGGCUUUGCGCCGUUCUUCACCUAGUUUCCUUUUCUUUUGAGUGAUCGGCCUGGCCUCUGUAUACACAGAUAAUCGAUGGGUAAUCACAUCUGAUUUUACCCCUGGCAUGUCUGCAGCCGUCCAAGCGAAAAGAUCAGCGUUCUUUAUUAAUGUUUUUCCGACCGCCUCUCGGUCGUCCGGAUUGAGAGAUGUUCCCAUGUNNNNNNNNNNNNNNNNNNNNNNNNNNNNNNNNNNNNNNNNNNNNNNNNNNNNNNNNNNNNNNNNNNNNNNNNNNNNNNNNNNNNNNNNNNNNNNNNNNNNNNNNNNNNNNNNNNNNNNNNNNNNNNNNNNNNNNNNNNNNNNNNNNNNNNNNNNNNNNNNNNNNNNNNNNNNNNNNNNNNNNNNNNNNNNNNNNNNNNNNNNNNNNNNNNNNNNNNNNNNNNNNNNNNNNNNNNNNNNNNNNNNNNNNNNNNNNNNNNNNNNNNNNNNNNNNNNNNNNNNNNNNNNNNNNNNNNNNNNNNNNNNNNNNNNNNNNNNNNNNNNNNNNNNNNNNNNNNNNNNNNNNNNNNNNNNNNNNNNNNNNNNNNNNNNNNNNNNNNNNNNNGCUCCAAACUCGGAUAAUAUCUGUAAAAACAUUCUGACGUUCAAGUCAGAUUUCCAAUAUUUGAUACUCGGUGCUAUUAGUCCUGAAAGAUGACUACCUUAUUUUCAAAAUCUGUGCAUAUUUAUAUAAUUAUCAUGAGUUUUUUGUUAUUGGGUUCGCAAGUGAUAGAUUUUAGAAAUACCUUAUGCAUGCAUCUUAUACAUAUUAUCUAUUUGAUGUUUAUAUUUGUUCACAUGUUUGUUCAUAUGGCUCACCUCCCCGGGCUUUUUAGCAGAACUCUAGUACUAUUUCAGCCUCUGGUGGAGCUAAGCUGUUAACAAGAAUGUUUGUGAGUACAUCAAAGUGCUUCUGAGCAGAUCUCUGUCAUGUAGUGAGAGAUUGCAGACAAUACUAUGAUGAUGCUAGUGUGAUCCAAUAAUUUUCCAAACAUAAACUGUUUGGAGUGCCAAUGAUCCGUGACCAACUCCAUUCUUUCUCCUCUCCAACUUCUAAUUCUGCUAACUGCCAUAAGUCAUGAUGUUACCAAAACACAAUUUCAGUAUCUUUGCUUGUGAGAGAGUUUUAAAUGGCAGGUUUGAAAAGGGUAUUGCAAAUGCCAAAAGGGGUAGAAUUCAAGCACUAUGGUGCAAGUUUUCAAGCUACUUAUUACAGUAUUAUAUAUUAUUGCUAAUGCUUUGUAGUGGAAAGCUAUAGCAGACAAUAUCAAAGAAGUUUGACAAAUGGGAACUUAAAAUGCAUAGAACUCGAAUCUUUAUAAAAUCCAUCCUUCAAGUUUGACAAAUGGAUGAUAUAAUCAUUAAUUAGAAACUAUUUUUGAGAAAGAAAAAAAAUAGUUUCUAUAUUGAUUAAAUUAGAUAUUAUUUUUUGUCUCUAAAAUUGUUUUUUAUUUAAUGAUUUUCUUGUAGUGAGUUAUAAACUUAUUAUAAAAGUUUUCCAUCAGAUAAUUGGAAUCUAUCUCAGUGUGAUAAGGUUCUUACCCUGCCAUCUCUGAGCUCAAAUAUGACAGAACCUUCAGAAAAUGGAAUUGGUCUUGUUGAUGCCACCUGUGUUGCAUAAGAUUCAAUGUCAAUUCUAUGUUCUUGUUACUUUUUAUUUUAUUUCAAAAUAGAACUUUGUCAAUUUUAACCAACCAGUAAUCAUACACUAACUUUUACCUUUGGUUCACAAUUUAAGUUGAGGUCAACAAGGUUGUCUUGGUUCUUGUUCAAGCCAGAUGCACAAUUUCCAUCACUCUGAACUGGUUUCUCCUCAUUGAAUCUUCCACUUUGUGCUUCAACAAUUUUAUUUCCCAUAUUGGGGAAGCCACAAUCCUUCCACUUCCAUGCAUUGUUGUCCAUGUAUCUCAGGUAUACUUUUCCAUCUGAGCCAAUCAAAAGUAGUUGAUUCCCUUCAAAGCUUGGACCAGGUGAACCAACCAGUGUAACACCUUUAUAAGGUGUUCCAUGUUCUAUCCAGUUCCAUCCAUGCCAAGUAUUCCACUGGUACUCAACAAGACCACCUUCUCUUGAAAGCAUGAAGAGAGAACCUGAGAGUGAUUUUGUUGAUGGUCUUAUGACUGUUCCAGGAAACUGUGAUAGAAUCAAAUGUUGAGACUGGUAAUGCUCAUGCCACAAUUCAGUCACUUUGUUAUACUGAUAUAGACGACCAUUUCUUCCAGUGACAAAGACUAUAUUUUCCCUGAACAAUUCCUGGUCAACUAUAGUUGCAACUUUAACAUUUUGAGGAUUUUUGCAAUCUUUCCAUUUGAACUUCCUCAUGUACACCUGAGUAAACAUGUAAAUUUUUACUUCACAUCUAGCUAGUGUAGCAGUAUUUCAAGUCUAAAGAGUUUAUUCCCUGAAAAUUUUAAUAUUUAAUCCAUGUGUGUUAUAAAUAAGACUUUAGUUUCACUACUUUCAACUAAUUCAUUUUGCUAGUUCCUUUGUUUCGUGAGGUUGCAACUUGUGGAAAGAGUUCUUAACGGUUCAAAGGGCAUAAUUACCAAUGUUUAAGGCACAACUGUAAAAAAUAUACGGAAGUGUUGGAGAUCUUACAUAACUAGAGAUUAAGAUAUUUCAUAGUAUAUAAGUGGGUGUUGGUGCAAACCUUUAUAGGUUGGUUUUACGAGGUUGAGUUAGACUUAAAGUCUACUUCUUAAUAUAGUAUCAAAGUCAUUUCGGACCUAUUCUAAUGAGAGUUUAUUGGGUAGAAUUACCAAUGUUUAAGGCACAAACUGUAGAAAAUAUACAGAAGUACAAUCAUAUUUUUGUUAAGAGGCAUGCAAUCAUCUUAAGCUUUUUGAAAUGUUAUUCAUUCACACUUCUAGCAUCUUUUAUCAAGGCUUGUCUCUUAAGUAUUCUAACUUCUAAGCAAUUAAAAAGUGAAUUGGUUGCACCUAUAUCAUCAUCUUGUACCAUACAUUUUAGUUUGAGAAAUUGUGUUGCUGUUUACCUACCAUGAACUGCAGUAAUCCUCCACUUUUGCUCACAAAGAAGAUUGAAUCUUCAGUUGUAGCCCUCCUUGCUUUACCUGGUAAUGUAUCCCAUGGUUGACCUCCAAUAAUAUGUCUCCCUUUCCUCGUAGCAGUGCAGUUUUUCCAUGCCAUCUCGUUAUCACUCCAUUCUCUAAGGAACAGACUCCCAAAUGAAUCAACCAUAAACAAACUUCCAUUAUAGUUCCCCACUAUACCACUCAUAGCCGAGGAGCUAUCAUGCUUCAACCAUACCCAUACAUUCUCAAUACAAACGUAUUCAAAAACAAAACCAUCAUUGCUUAUUAAGAAGAAUGACUUGCCUUCAUACAGCAGUCUUAAGCGAAAGUUACUACUAAUCCAAUCAUCUGGCAGAUUGUAUUCUUCUGAAGACUUGUUCAGUUCACCACCUUUGCCUAGAGACAAGUAAUGACUCUGUGUUUGGCUUUGUUUUCUUCUACUUGUUCCUGAAUCAUUUGAGUCAUCUUUUGUACCUGUCAUACAAUUUCUGGGGCCACGUUCUUCUGUACAAUAUUCUGCAUUCCACCCUUCACUCUCUGGCACAUCUAAUAUAGUCCAAACAUAUCUGUUUGAUGCUUUCCUUCUAGAGUUUUGUGGUGCAGAUGGUCCUGAACUUUCACCCCCUAUUCCUACUAGAUGCAAUUCUGCAAGUCUACCAUCGUCUAGUGCAUACAGUAUCCUCCCAACUUGGAAUGCUAAGCCAGCUAUACCUCUUGCUGCUUUUGCUUGUGAGGGAUGCUCAUGACUUCCCCAUGCUUCUGGAAACUGAUUAUUAUGAACACUACCUGUUUUCAUUUGAGAAUUCAAUGUCUAAAACGCAGUAUUCAGAUAGAAAACUUUGUUGGAACAGGAAAGUUUGAGUCUUUCACAGAUGGGUGCAGAUAAAUUAAAACCUUUAACAGUAAAAACAUAUACUUCACACCUUAAUAAAUCAAUAUUUUAUUCAUUUUCAUUUUAUUUUUAAUUUAAAAUUAUUAUUAUAUUAUUAUUAACAGUAUCAAAUGUAUGUCAUUUACGGUUCAGAGUGUCAACAAAACUUUUCUCUUCUCAAUAUUAGUAUUCCAUGUCUUAUUUUAUUCUGCAGAAUAUAUAUUGCAAAUACUAGCUAUUUUUAUGAGUAGGAAUUAUGUUUACUGAUGUUGAAAUAAUGAAUCUAAUCCACAAAUAAUAUUGUUAGUCUUUUCGUUGCUUGUGUAUAAGCUUCAAUAAUCUUUCAGGUUCUUGACAGAUUAUGAAUUUGAUUACAUAACAGUUAAGUAUCAAUUGAUUACUCUUGGUUCCUAAUUAUCAAACAACUAGAGUGAGGUAAACUAUCUAAGAGACACAAGUAAAGGUAGCUGGGAAUGAUAAUUGUCUCUUAUUUACUUCCUAGGAAUAGGAAUCAAAUUUCAGAUGGACGAUAGGUUUUGGUAAUGGUGAUAACUAUUCCAAAAAGUUUGAUAGAUAAAGAAUGAAACUGAAAAUCCCAAAUAGUAUGUUGCAGAUUCCACGUCAAAUAAAGAUAAAACAUCUCAUAAUAUAUGAUAAUAUAUGACUGAGUGUAAACUUCACCUUAUCAGCCAAUUUUAUAAGAUUGAGUUAGGAUUAAAAUCCACUUCUUAAUAUAAUAUAAUAUAGUAUCAUAAAGUUCAUAUUUAGUAAAAAUAUUAGUAUAGUCAUAGAAGUAAAUAUCAAUCAUGGAUGAAGUUAAACAGAUUUAGAGCAAUUGGAUGACUCACCUAGUUGUUUUGGCAUUUGAUAUUCAAAAACAGAUCCAGCUGAAGUAGUAAAGAAUAAAGAAUUGAAUGUUUCACUUGAUUCAUCUUGCAAAGCUGGUGUAAUAGACGUCAAAGUUUGCUGUUCAGGGCUUCCAUGAACUACCCAUUUCCACUUCCUUUGAUGCAAUCUUCUCUCCACCAAAGUGCCUUCCUGUAUAAUUAUCAUUUUUUUUAAAUGGUGUCCAAGAGAGACAUGGUUUUUAGAUUCUUAAAGGACCUCAUUAAGAUGAAAUUCUAAAGUUUAACAACAUGCCCAAUUGAUUUUAAAGUUAAUUGGAACCAUGGUUUUACUUUACAUAAGUAAUUUUGAUUAAGCUUAUGUUCCUGAUUAAUUGGGCAUCAACUUGAGAGUAUUCACCAAUAUGUUCUUUAUUAUUAUAGCACUCAUAUUCUGAUAAUGGAAGAUAUGUUCAUACAGUACUUUCAUUAACAGUACCUUGGUUAAAAGAAACAGAGAUUCAGAAUGAUCACCACUUAAUCCAUGUAAAAUGCACCCUUUAGAUGGAAUCAAAGGUGAAAAUUUUGCUGUUUUUUCUUGCCAUAUGUGCUUCCUCCACGACGGUUUUGAUUUUCGAUUAUAUUCAAAAAGAUCUCCCGAAGAACUACAUCACCACAUCAUCCAUUAGUUAGACUCUAUGCAACAUAGACACUAACAAAGACACGACAUAGAUACGAACAUGGAGAUAUAUAUAAUCUCUAAAAUGUAAGACACUGAGACACGAAUCUAUAUAUUAUAUAACUAUGAAUUAUAUAAAUUGGUAAUAAAGAUUUAUAUGCACAAAUGUAUUUCACAUUUUUUUAGCAGCAAUAUUUUUUGAAUUGGACACUUCAUUUAUACAUGUCUUAUUACGUGUGUCCGACACGGUCAUGUCAUUUAAGAGGAGUGUCCGAAUAUUAUAGGUGAAGAAUGAUGUUUGGUACUACUUAAAGACAACAGGGUUUUGUUUUCUAUCUUUCUUUACUGUUCUGUUUGUUAGUCAAAUUGUUUCAAGCAACAUACACAUCACCCACCUUAUGGUGUAUACUGCUUCUCGUGUAGAAGCAACAGCAGCUAUUGCUGCAACAUUUGCUCCUGCUGGUUGCCCAUGAUUUGUCCAUCUGCUCUAUAUAUUGCCAAAAUAGGACCGAAAUUAGUAAUAUUUGCUUAGGAUUUAACUUAUGUACAAUUAUGUGCUGCAAAACUUGAGUUUUACCUUGGAGACUCAACCACAUCAAGUUCUACUAGAGUUCCAUUUUUUGUACAGAAAUAACCUCUUCUGUGGACAAUGCAAGAACACAAACGAGACAUUAAGAGUUUGAUUGGUUUCAGACUUUAAGUAAUCAUCCAAUUCAAAUACAUCCUUGUGUUAUGUGUUUAAUCUCAAACUAAAAUUUCAAUGUGUACUCACUGCCCAUCAUCUGACACCACACCAGACUUCAUCAAUGUCAAAGUAUUUUUCUCCUGAUCAUUAUCUUCAAUUGGACCAAGUGCAGGUGGGAAUUCAACCCAAACUGGUUGUGAAGUUUCACCAAGUUGCAAAUGCAUCUGCUAAAAUAAACAAAGUCAGUAGAGAAGUGACCGAUUUAAGUGCAGAAUCAGAUCAUAUUAGUGAGUGAUUUAAGUUACAAUUCAAGUUGACAAUCUGUAUACAUAUAAUCACUAUUAGAUUCGAACACUCCUCUUACAUGACGUGUCCGUGCCAGACACACAUAUCAGACGUCUAAUAAGAGACAAAUUCUUUUGAACCAACCAUGAAAAAUAUUUCUUUUUUAAAAAAGACCGAAACAUACCUGUGCACAUAAAUUUUUAUUGUUAAUUUAUAUAAUUCAUAAUUAUAUAAUACAUAGAGUAUGUGUUUCCAUAUCCUAUAUUUUAGAUAUUAUACAUAUCUCCUGUGUUUCGUGUCUGUAUCGUAUAGAUAUAGUGCUUAAAAUGUAUCCAAAUAGAAGAGUAUAUAUUCCGAACGAAAUAUAAUUCUGAGAACUGAUAUAUAUAACCUGAUACAGAUUUCCCGAUUCAGAUAAAGCAAGAAUCAUCUGACUGAUGAUAAAAACUGCCACUGCACGUCCUGCUGAUAUUGGUAAGUCAUGAGGGGCCAUCACCCAUUCCAAUCCAUUCCAAAACCUCUCAUAGAUAGACCCACUUUCACCAGUGAUCCACACAGAUGUCUCAGACAUUUUGGUCAAUGAAACUCUCUUUCUCAGAGGCCUCAGAACCACAUCCAAGGGCUCCACAGCUCCUACUUUAUCAUUUUUUCUGUCCAGUCUCUUCUUUUUAUCAUCAACUCCCUGUUCUUGAUCCAUGCUUUCCUCCCUUCUCUUCACCUUACCACACUCACUAUCACCACCAGAUAUCAGAUCACAGGGCAGUUGCACCUCAACCCAUCUAUCAGCUUCUUCACUGAACUUCCAAAACCUAUCGGUUUUCUGUUCAAACCUUCUAUUGCUCUGCUGAAACAGCUGAUAUUGACAGCAUGAAGCACAACCCACACCAGUACAAAAGCUCACAGACACGAGCCCCCAGAUGCCACAUAUCAAAUGGAACACUGACAUGGUGGCAUGGGGAGCCAGAUAACAGAAACUCCAAAAAGUCAGGAUUUUUAAGAUAUUCUAAGACCAAGUUUGGUAGUUGCGUCCCACAUGAGGGUUCCCUUAUGAGUCAUGGAUCUAAAGGCUUGGAUCAUCUGAUAAAAAAUCUCAAAUUUAUUGGAUAGAUGGUUUUUUCAUAGCCUCCAAGUAAAAGGGAAUUCAUUAUACUGGUGUAGGGAUGAAAAGAAGGGAAGAUAUUUUGUGGGGUACCUACCAUGUAGUAUCAGGCGCAGGUAUUGAUUCUCAUAUUAUAACUACCUCAGAUGGCUUGUGUUUAUUUUCGUCAACUUUGAAGUUAAUUCUUUGGUAAAAUAACAUGAAACAACCUGUUUUUCACGCAGCGGUUUAACCACCACGUUUCUUUCUUUCUACAUCAAAAGGGUAAGUUGAGUUCUCAUUCAUUCUAAGUAGCUGCUUUAUCUGACCAAGUUGGAUUAUUUCUUGCCCUUGAUUUCAUCAUCACAGUGAUGUUUAGGUGAAAGAUUUUGAUGAAUUGUUGGUUUGUGUUUGUAAAGUAAUGCUAUUGAGAUUCUAUAGUCGACUUUUACUACUAGGAAGAAAAGAAUACGGAUUCCUCUGGCUCUACCUUGACAUAGAUGCAACAACGAACAACUAGCCAUGAAAAUAAUAUUAUGAUAUGUGGUAACUGUCAUUGGAUCAUGAGAACCCUCCAACCGAUGGCUCUGAUGUUCUGUUGCACUUUGACUAUGUGAUUAGAAAACCUUACAAGUUUCGUAUCAAAGGGUUUUGUGAGAGUGAGAGGUGGAUGACCUCAGAUACCAUUAAUUUUCUUUUGAAGACAUUUAGUGUUGAAAAGACAAUGAACACAUCACCAUUAGAAAGUGGUUGGCCUAAUAAGACAUUACUUAGAAACGUACUACUCAUGAUUUUACUGGUUGUAAGAAAACUUAAUUGUGGCUGUUUACACUAAGUAAUAACAUCAUAGGACUCUCAAAAUUUGAUUAAAAGAUGGUGAAACCGUGGAGAACGGUGCUGCUGAAGAAGUUUGUCCCUGUUGUGUAAGCAAUUCCAUCACUAUCACUUUAUCAGUUACAAAUUAAGAUCAUGCAAAAUUAAAUCAUGAAAAAUGUUAUGUCAACAACUCCUUUCUCCUUUGUGCCUGCAUACAUUCUGAGGUGGCAAAGGGCAGUUUUGUCAAUAAACAUUGCUGAGUGGGUGAUGUGGGGCCAAGAGCAGUUUCAGGUGAUGAUAUUUUAACACUCUAAUUCACCUUCCACCCACAAUAAAAUAUUAAUAUUUAUAAUAUUUAUAUAUAUAUAUAAAUAAUAUAACAGUAACAAUGUCAAAAAGAAAAAGGAAAAUAGAUAUUUUUUCAAAUGGUAUAGAGAUAAACUUUAGUAUAUUUAUCUUCAUCACAACCUCCUUUGAUAAUAUUUUGAAUUUUAUGUAAUAAUGUGGGAUAAAAUUAAAUUCACUCAUAUAAUGUAUUCAUCAUUUUUUAUUCCGCAGUCUAAUAGUUGUAUAUAAUUUAGAAAUUGAUAUUAAAGAUAAUUUAAAUGCACAUUAUAAAAAAAUUAUUAAAUAAAAUUUAAUUUUAAAUAAAUAAAUAAUUUAUAUAAAAUUAUAUACUAUUUUAAAAACUAAAAAAAUUAUUAAUAUCUAAAUUAAUUUUUAUUAUUGAUAAAUAGUUUUUAAAUUGAUAUUUAAGAUAAUUUUUUUAAUUUGAUUUUUUAAGAAAUUCGUAAUUAAACUUUGAGUUUUAAAAUAAAUAAUAUCUUAAAUACUGUGAUUUACUCUAAUAGUAUUACUUUAUCAAAUUUAAAGUCGAAUAUUGACAUUUUAUGUGAUUAGAAAGACAAAUCCUUAAGAGAUCCAUAUACAAUUAUUAAUUUAAAUGAUAAUUAAAAAUUCAAAUUUUAAAAUGGAUAAUACUUUAAAUACACUUAUUUACUCUAUUGAUAUUAUCUUACUAGAUUUAAAAUUAAAAUAUUAAAUAUGUAUAUGGUUUCAAAGAUAAAUUUUCAAAAUAGAUAAAUCUUCAAAAAAAAUUAUUAAUUUAUUUUAAACAGGGAUUUGAAAUCGAAAAAUAAUCCAAUAUUAAUGUGAAACUGAUCCACCAAAAUUAAGUUGAAACGAAGCUAGUAUAGUUACUAGGUCGGCGUAGUGAAAAUAGUGGUAGUUAACUAUUAAUUACUCUUUUUCAAGUUUUAAUAAAUCCUUAAAUAUAAUCACUGCGUCAAUAAAUGUUUAGCUAACACCACAACUCAAUUUACUAACAAUAACAUUUAGUUUUUGAAAGUCACAGAUAUCUUACUUUUCUAAAUUAAAUUUAUCUUUAAGGUCAAAAAACAAGGACAAAUCUACUUUCGAUUUAAUUUAAAGUAAAUCAUUAUUUGAACCUACUCAACUAUUUUAUUCAAGAAACUCUCUUAGAGUUAAAAAAAAGUACUUUUUUAACAUUCCAUAAAGGCUUAGAGCUUCUAUUUUUGGGUGUUUCUUCCUCCAACCCUAUAAUGUUUUUUCUGCACCCCAUCAAUGGGAAAGAAGAUCAAAAUGUCUAAUCUAACCCGACCUUACUUCAAAAAGUUUUUUUUUUUUUUAACGUGUAACUGGAUUUCAUAAAGCCGAUUUAUAAUUUAUAAUAUGAGGUUUGCAUCUAUUUAUAAAUAAUGAAAUAUCUUAAUUUCUAGUUGAUAUCUCCAACAUACACCUCAAACAAGGAUACUAUGGAAAUAUAUGUUAUGCACCCUACUUCAAAAUGUCCAAUAAACUCUCGUCAAAAUAAACGAAUAAAAAAAUCAAAAUGUCUCAUUUAAUCUAGCCUUACUUCAAAAAGUUGCUUUUUUAAAUGCGUAACUCGACCUCAUAAAACCGGUUUAUAAUAUGAGGUUUGCACUUACUUAUAAAUAAUAAAAUAUCCUGAUCUCUAGUUGAUGUAUUAUGCAUGUUUCAUAAAUUUUAUUCUAGGAUUUUUUUUGAAAAAUGCUUUCCAGAAUUUUUGAAAGUUAUUUUCCAAAAUACACUUAUAAAUUUUGGAAAGGAGUAUAUGAGAAGAUUUCAAAAAAACUAUUCCAAAAAAUCAUUUAAAAAAAAGAGUAAAAUUGUAUUUUUAAAUAUUGAUCGGGGGGUGAAGGAAGAAACACCCUCAUUUUUUAUAUAGCAGUUGUAUGAUUCUAACACCGUUCAUAUAUAUAACGUUUUCAUAUAAUCUAUUGCUCUCUCAUUUCUAAAUUAUAAGUAAUUUAUUUAUUUAUUCAUUUUCUUUAUUUGUUGUAAUUUUCAGAUUUCAAGGCAAUUAUGAUUUUUUUUUUCAAUUAUACCUUGUUUUCUUUAAUUAAAUAUAAUUCGAAAAUAGAACACUUAAUCUUCUACAGAGUAGCUAAGAUCGAAAAUAGAUUACGAUUUUAUUUUCUGGAUUGAUUUCAGUUCAAAUCUAUGCCAGAUAAUAAAAAUGUAACAUUUGAAGCCAUGCUUGGAGAGUUGUAAGUAAGUUAUUUGAUCAUUGAAUUGGAGUUAUAUAUGCACUGAAAAAUUAAGGAGGAAAAUUUGUUUUGCUAAAUGUGGUUAGAUAUCAAAUUUGGCAGCAGGAAUAGCUACUGGUGGUGUGCUUGGGUUUCUAUAAAUCAUCACCAGGAUUCGUGUUAUGCUGGUGUUAUGCAGUCUCAGGUCUUGGGACUGAGUUCUAACUAGCUUUAAGUUUUUGAGUUAAGUGGUGAGCCGCUUAACUUUGUUUUAAUCGUUGAAUGCUUAAUUAGGAGGUCUAUGUAUAAGGGUUGGAACACCCCUAAAGUGUUUCUUUUAAUUCUAUUAAUUCGUUGCUGAUAAAAAAAAAAAUCAAAUUUGGCGAAGAUGGAGAAAAUUAAAGAUAAUGUGAAAUGAGUGACAGUGAUGGAGUAGUAGUAAUAUAAGGAAGUGAUUAAAAAUAAUAUUAAGAAAAUUAUAUAACCAAUAUUUUAAAAAAUAAAUUAUUUAACUUUUUUGAAAUAUAAGGAAGUGAUUUAAUUAUUUACUAAAUAAAUAAAUAAUUAAAUUAUAUUUUAUUUAUUAAAGGAUGAAAUUGUUCAAGGUAAAGGAAAGUUACUUCUCUUUAUAUAAUGGUAUAAAUAAUAUUGAAUAGAAAAGUAAUAGUGUAUUAUAAGCAUAGAUGAUUUUUAAUUAGAGAAAACAUUAAUACUCGUUUAAGUAGCAGAAGAAUAAAUAAUUAAUAGAAUUACUUUUUUUUUACACGAUAUUGUAAUUGUAUUUAUAUAAAUUGUCGGAGAGAGUAUUCUUAGAAUCCAUUUCCGCUUUACUCUUUUUGUUCCUCUGUUAACAUCUUCUCUCAGUUAGCUUUUUCUACUAGUCAAUUCUUUCUCUCAAUCAACUCCUUCUUUGGAAUUACUUUAUGAUCUCUCUCGAUAUGAGAUGUAGUACCUACAGGAAUUCUCCGAUGCUUAAGUUAGUCUUUGUAUUAAUCACUUAAUAGAAAAACUAAAAAAUUGAACUAAACAUUCUAUCUAUUUAUACUACUUGUUAACGAGUCACAUCAUUUUAAUCCUUCUACUUAUCUCUUAUUAAUUGAUUAUCAACACUUAAUUAAUUUUAUUUAUCUUUCAUGCGUGUCUCUUAUUAACACUGACACUUGUGCGUUUUUUUCACGUAAUAUUUCUACUAACACUUUUGCUUGUUCUUUACUUCUUUCGACCUUUUGGUUUCUCGGUCUUUUGACGUACAAGCUUUCGACAUGACCGAUUCAAUAACAAUUGUUAACUUAUCUAUUUUAUUCAUAAAUUUAUUCUUAAAUAAAUAAAAAAUGAGGAAGUAUUUCAUUAGACCUCACGUUGUCAAAAUAUUAAUAUUCUAGCUAAAACUCUUAAGUGAAACAUUCACCAUGUCUUAUCUAUUCAUCAUUAGUGUUUUCUCUUUUUUUUUAUUAUGUCAUUUUGUGCUAUGUUGUGUGAAUUUUAUUAUCUAAUGAGAUAUUAUUUUUAUGAUAUAAAUAGUAGUCAUGACUAUGGAUAAAAUACCAUUGAAUUUUGUUACCUUAUCAUACAUUUUUCAUCGGUAUUAUAGUACUUUUCCAAGCGCAAGAGAAUUGUGGGUCACAUUCUACACAAAGUUAAAGUGUUUGCGUCUUCCUACGAACUUAGUGUCAAUUGACAUGAUGUUAAAAUUGAGUAAUUAAUGGUUGCUUGAAUUGUUCUAUUUUUAAAUUAAAAAAAAUUAGGUUAUUUUCUAAUUUAAAAUGUUGGAUACACUUUAUAUAAACAAAUGCAAGAGAAUGAGUGAUUCAAAAAAUGAGUGACAAUAAACAUUUUGUACAACCAGUCAUCCAUAUUUUGAUGCUAAAUAUAAACAUGGAAAUUUCUUUUUGAAAAAUCUCUUGAGAUCCAAAUGGGCAAAUUUUUACUAUACUCAACCAUUUUUAAUCUUCACCCUACACAUUUUUAAGUUUCGGUACAAGGUACAAUACAUUUUCAUUCAAUCACAAAACUGAUACAUUCUCACUCAAUCACAAAACUAAUACAUUCUCAUUCAAUCACAAAACAGCAUCAUUUAGGAUAACUAUUAUAAACCUUAAACCUAAAAUUUUAAUGUGGUGUUAAAGCCUAACCUUUGACAACAGCAGUGAGAGCUUGUUCUUCCUUUUCAAGCUGUUCAACAUCUACUAGAGGCUUAGCAUCCACAGCAUGGAUCUCCCUUUCCUGUUCCACAUCCUCUUCCUCUUGGAAAGCAAACACAUCCUCUUUGUCUUCUUCCUUCAAGUUCCAAGGUUUGAAGUCCUCUCCUGCUCGAACUCCAGAAUUCCCACCAUCAAAAGCACCACCUCCACCACCCGCAUCUCCACUUUCCUUCUCGAUCCCUUUAAAUAUAGCAUCCUCGUCUUGCUCAUCGAGACCCUUCUCAUGCAACCACCCCUGUCCUUGAGCCUGGGGGGCAAGUGUACCGGUACGGCCGAGAGGCCGAGACCUUGGAAGGCUUGGCCGAGACGACCGAGAGGCCGAGACCUUAGAAGACUCGGCAGAGAGGUCGAGACCUUGGAAGGCUUGGCCGAGACGGCCGAGAGGCCGAGACCUUAGAAGACUCGGCCGAGAGGCCGAGACCUUGGAAGGCUUGGUCGAGAGGACCGAGAGGCCAAGACCUUAGAAGACUUGGCCGAGAGGGCGAGACCUUAUAAGACUUGGCCGAGAGGGCGAGACCUUAUAAGACUUGGCCGAGCGACCGAGACCGUUGAAGACUCAACUGAUAAGGCCGAAGGCCACGGGUAUUUGGCCGAUGGCCGGCCCUCACCACGAGACUUUGGCCGAUGGCCGAGUCCCAUUACAAUUAACGCUCAAACCGAGAUCAGUGAAGCUAAUCCAUCAUCAAGAAUUAGGUAAUGCAACCCUAAGCUGUAUCCACCUCGAUAAACGGGUCCAACAAGGUAGGCCCACUAGAAUAAUAUAAAUAGCAUGCAUCCCAAGGAGUAAGGUAUGUCAUUUAUCACUCUGAGAGCUGACCACCCGCUUUACUGACUUGAGCGUCGGAGUGCCUUCGCAGGUACCCCCACCAUCCGGUGUAUAGCCGAGGCCGAGGGCCGAAGGGGAAGCAGGAGGGCGAGAAGAACCCCAGCUCACUACCCAAUCACCUGACCGACCGAAGGAAGGAGAAGAAGACUUCAAUAGUUCUCUAGGUCCCAUCUCCCUAGCAGGAACAAUAGGCAUGCAUUUCAUGUUAAAAAUCAUUAAUAUAUCAUCUGUGUUACUAAAAAUAGUCUUUACAUAUAAUCAUGAUGUGUAGCAUUAAAGGGAAAAGGGUUCUUUAGAUGAAAGAGCUACUUCAACCUUGGAAAGCAAACAUGUGGGUGGCCCCAAAUUAAAAACAGUGAAUCAUGGCCAAAUAUGUUGCCUUUGCUUUAAGAUCCACAAACUCUAAGAGAACCAAUUCCAGCUUGCUAAUUUGUCUAGCAGCAAAAGUAACACAAACAAUGACAAAAGUGUUCCAAUUAUUGAUGAAAUCUAGUAAGCGUUUCCACCAAAUUAUAGAGGAAAGACAUGAACAAAGAAAAACAAGCCCACAAAGGGUGUUGUUGUUUUCUUUUUACUUUACAAAAAAAAUAAAGUGAGUGAAGAUCUCACCUUUUCAAACUGAUUUUGUUUCAUGUUUUCCAAAACCAUAUUAUAACACUUUCAUUUGUGAUUUAUAUUUUAAUGGAUUUGUAUCAUAGAACUUCUUUUUAUAAACUAUUGAAAAUUUAAUCGAAUAUCAUCUUAAGAAAACCCUAAUAAUUAUAAUUAAGUAUAUAGUUUGGUUUGGUUGAUUGAGUAUGAUGCAUGAGUUAGUGUAAACUUGCUUACAUGUGUUCAAUUCCUAUAAUCCAAUGCACCCUUGUUUGUACUUUCAUCUUAAUUAAUGUCAUAAAUUGAUGGAAAUUAUAAAACUUGGAGGCUUCAAUAAUUUUUUUUUCUAAUUGUACUAAAAUUUCAAUUAUUUUAUUUAAAAUGAUCUACUGGCACUUAUUUUCUCUUUCUUAAUUCCAAUUUUGGAGAGUAUUUUUUAUAAUGUUAUGUAAAUAAAAUAUCGUUCUGUAAAGUACAUUUUGAAAUAACAAAUGGAUACAAAUGUUUUAGAAAUAAGGUAAAUAAAAUAUUUGGAUUACUCACUGCAAUCUUCUAAUUUAUAGAUUUCGAAAUGUACUUUUCCAAAUAAGUUUUGGCUUUCUUAAAAGUUAGAUGAUUCUUUUGAUAACAUGAAAAUCAUUAGUGUUUUGUAAAAUAUUUUUCAGAAUGUAAGAAAUAAAAAAAUGUUUAUGAAAUUAUUUUUUAAGGUGACAUUUUCAACCAAAUUUUUUCCAAAAAAAAGGAUAACAUUAAAAGAGUGGAAAAUAGUUUAAUUUAAUCGGAGAAAACAAACUUAAUCUCAAUUUAUAUUUAUUCAAGAAGAAGCAUUGCAUUGUUGCGAGCUUGGCAGUGAAAGCAUAAAAGUUAAUGUGAGAUAUGAAAGAGAAUGCAAAGAAGAUAAAUAGUUUUGAAAGGGAAAAAUGCGGUAAUAAUAUGUCAUUUUAAAUGAAAAGCAACAAAAGGGGCUGCAUUUCACAAAAAAGGAUUGUAAAUAGUAGGAUCCAACAUGAGUCAACAUACCUAAUGAAGCCCAAGAAAUAGAAACGGACGGCCAGACUAACUUCUGCAAGCGGUAGUAAGACUGCUCUCCUACACCUCCAUACGUCUCUCUCACUUCCAUAAACUUUUGUAUUUCCAAAUUGUCAUUCUAUAUAUCUAUAUUACGUAAUUUGAAAGUCCUUUUUCNNNNNNNNNNNNNNNNNNNNNNNNNNNNNNNNNNNNNNNNNNNNNNNNNNNNNNNNNNNNNNNNNNNNNNNNNNNNNNNNNNNNNNNNNNNNNNNNNNNNCACAUGCGUGAUUAAUUUCUAAAUUACAUAAUUCAGAAAUUUUUUUAAUAUAAGAUUAGCUUUUGGAUUUUGAAAGUUUUUUUUAGAUAACAGAUUAAUUUCUAGAUUAUAUAAUUUAAAAAUCUUUUAUGAAUUUGAAAGUAGCUUUUGAAAAUUUAAAAUUUCAGAUUACAUAACUCGUAAGUUAUUUUUGAAUCCGAUAUUAAGUUUUGGAUUAUAUAAUCUCGAAUAUAUAUAAUUUUUUAAAUUGAUUCUGGAUUGUAUAAAUUUAUGAGACUGAUAAAAAAGGAUAAAAAAUAUUUUCAAGUUUUGUAUGGGUGAUACCCUUACAUUUUUCUUUCUGCCCUCCGAUAAUUUUGUAAAUUCCAAAAUUGACCCCCACAAUUUUGGGAUCUGGGAGUGUGCUACGGAUUCAUCAAUCCAGAAGUGAAUCAUGUUGCAUUCUGGAUGAGGGGUGUUCCAGAAGCAAAGUUUGCAUAAAUUAUUGAUUUCCGGAUUGCUGAAUCCAGAAGCCUAAUUUCUAUUACGGAUUGGUGAAUCUGGAAUGAUUUUUUUCAAUUAUGGAUUUCUGAAUCCGGAAUGCAUAUUUUGAAUUACAGAUUGACGGAUCCGAAAUGGUUUUUCAAUUAUGAAUGUUUUGCAUUUUUUAUUUUGGAUUAACACUACUAUUCAUGUACUACCGAAAGCAUUAAUCCGUGAGAUUACCGAAAAUUUACCGGAUUUCAUAAUCUGGAAUACAAAAAAAUGAACAAUUUAUAUAGGGACACUUUUGUCUUUGCUCAACCUUAUGGGGGUGUAGGAAGAAGAAUGUAGGGGUGCAGAAAGAAACUGCCAAGAAAUAGUCUUUUCAUAAGCAUAUCCCAAAAGGGCCGAAACCGGUUUAUAAAGGGCCCAACUUAAGCAUAAACCCUUUGCCGCCAUUGCCACAGCUCAUUCAUUCAAUUAUUCGUCGCCACCGCCGGCGAAAGCCCAAACCAGUUUCUCUAUCAUCUCUUUCCUCCGCAGGUGCGUUUAUACUCUGGCGCACUCCUUUCUAAAGGGUCGUUGUCAAUUUUUUAUGUUUUUGUGAUUAUGGUUAUUGGGUGUGUCAGUUUUUGAAGCAAAAAAAUGGGGAAGAAGAGAAAGCACAGUGAGAGUAGUGAACUUGUUGCACAGCCCAAAAAGGAAGAUGCUGCUCCAGAGAGACCAACGAGGACCCUUUUGGGUUGGAAGGAUAAGAGUCUAGUCAAUGAUGAAGUCGACGACAGCAACGUUGGUUCACCAAUAUUCAGGAACAAAGAGAAGGUUUUGGUCACUUGCUCUAGGCGCAUCAGUUACAGGUACAAUCUAAUACAAACCCCAUGACUUGUCAAAGUGUAGGUCUUGACAUUCGGUCGUACGGGAAGGUCUUGACUUCUCGGUCGUUCGUCCAAGUCCUAGAAGGUCUCGACAUCUCUGUCGUUCGGCCAUGUCCCCGAGGGUCUCGACAUCUCGGUCGUUCGGCCAUCUUUCGAAGGUUUCGACCAUUCGGUCGUUCGGCCUCGCGAUGAUGUACCCGAGCUUUAAGUUUUUGAGCUAAGUGGGGAGCCGCUUAUCUUUGUUUUAACUGCUAAAUGCUUAAUUAGGAGGUCUAUGUAUAAGGGUUGGAACACCCCUAAAGUGUUUCAUUUUAUUCUAUUAAUUCGUUGCUGAUCAAAAAAAAAAAUAGAUUUUGUGUUUUUCGUUUAUAGUUUGUAUUACUCUAUUUUUUCGUCACUUGCCCGCUUGCUCGAUUAACAUCGCAAGUGCCGGCCGACCACCCACCAAACUUGCUCGAUGACAUUGCAAGUAUUGGCCGAACGCCCGCUUGCUCGAUCAAACAUCGCAAGUGCCGGCCGCCCGACUACCCGCUUGCUCGAUUAACAUCGCAAGUGCCGGCCGACCACCCACCAAACUUGCUCGAUGACAUCGCAAGCAUUGGCCGAACGCCCGCUUGCUCGAUUAAAC
rnacentral:lncRNA from 1 species